rnacentral:lncRNA from 1 species
CCAAGGUUCUGAUGGCAUUCUGAACCUCUUGAGCAGAGUUGUACGUCACAAACCCAAAACCUUUCGACCUACCACUGUCCCUGUCGUAGAUGACUCUAGCCUCAACAACCUUCCCUUGCUCCCCGAACAAACUCUCGAGCGCCAUGUCAUCGACUCCCCACGAGAGAUUGCCGACAUAAACACGGUUCCCUGAACCAGCACCACCACCUCCACCAUAUCCUCCACCGGAGCUUCCAAAGCUGCUUCUAGGUCCUCUUGAGAAGGAGUCUUCCCUCUUCGGUGGAGGAGGACCCGCGUUAACUCUCAACGGUCUACCAUCCAACUCCUGCAAACAAAACCCAAUAAGAACAACAAAACAACACAAAGGUUCCAACUUUUUGUCUUUAGCAACCACAAGUUUUUGUCUUUAGCAACACAAAGGUUCCGACAUAAGUAUGUUCUUACAUAGCCAUUGAACUGCUGUUCAGCUGUCUGAACCUCAGAGGCUGAAGACAUAGUCACAAACCCAAAACCUCUGCUUCUCCCUGUCACCUUGUCAUAGAUUACCUAAACAAAGACAACAAAACGAACAAUCACUAAAACCAAUCUCAAACAACAACAACAACAAAAAAGAUUCAAUCUUUAUCUCAUUUCUCGAAAACCCACAACUCAAUUUUGAGUUUUUGACCCGUUACCUCAACCAUCUCGACGUUUCCGGCGCUCUCGAAGAGCUGAGCGAGCUGAGCGCUGUCGACGUUAAAGGGGAGGUUACCGACGAAGAGCUUGAGGUCAGAAGAGAAGGAUUGCUCCCGCCGCGGGGGAGGAGGAGCGUCGUCGUCAGCGAAGAUGCCGUCUUCUUCGACUGAGAAGUCGUCAGUAACCGCGACGUUACGGACGAAGCGAGAGGAAGCGGCGGAGAUGGAGAGGGAGAGGGAGGCGGAGAGGGAGUGGAGAUUGAAGGAGAGGGAAGGAGGUGAGAGGGAAGCGGAGGCGGGUCUGGAGAUGGAGAAAGGAAGGGACUUGGGGGUGAAGGUGGAGAGAGCGAGAGAGGAAGCUGAAGCAGCCAUGGUGAAGAGAUGAGAAGAGAUAAGGUUUGUUUUUAGCUUUAGGGGUUUUUUGAGAGUGGAGAUAAGAUGGUGUGUUUCUGAUAUUUAUGGGCCAAAUGGGAAUAAAUAUCUUUGCACAAAAUAUCUCAUUCUGAUUUUUAUUUACAAAAUUUGCCUCAAAACUUUAUUUUAUUGCUAAAUAUUCUGCUGCUAAUAAAAUUUGUCAAAUUUUGAUGAAUUUAUCUUAACGUCAUCUCUAAAAAAAGUAUGUAUUUAAAAAAAAUAUAGGUUUUCAUAAAUUUGUACACAAUUUUUUUAGAAAAUCUUAAUUUUCAAAAUAUUUUGUAUUUUCUCACUUUAGUGGUGUUAUCUUUAGUGAGAUGACAGAUGAGAUGAGAUCUAAGCCGUAGAGUUUUGGAUGGACAGUGGAGAUGGCACGUCUCAUGCCAAGGCCCCAAAAAUAUAAAAAAUCUAUAAGAUAGGAUAUUUUAACUAAAAGCCAAUGGAAUUAACAACUCUCGUUCCAGCACAGAUCUUUAACUCCAAUAAAUUCAGAAAACAAUACAGUUCCUUUAAAGAAAACCACUGAAUCAUACAAAGGUUGCUCCAUUCAAAACAAGUUAAUAAGAAACUAUUUAUUUGGAUAACAAUAGAAGACUGAAGUUCUUGAACUGCAAAACGCUUUUAGGAUCUCUUCAAUUGGAGGGUCAUCUCCAGCUUCUUUGUCCUGAAACGUUCCAACAAACAAGUUGUUGAGUACGAGAUUGUGAUUAAUUUACCCCUUUGAUUACAUUGACAUGGUGUAAACACAAGUAUUUGAUCAAAACGUGUUACCUGGUCCAUACUCCCCGGUCCGAUCAAAACAUGAGAAACACCAGAUGCAUCCAUCACAUGCUAAGAAAACCUCAAAUGUAUCACUUAAUGAAAUGAUCAAAACCACAUCAAGAUUUUGACAUUGUUGUUUUUACUCCGGGAAAGCCGAAAGAAAUAAGAAAAAUCCUAACUUUAAGUUUUAGUUAGAAAAAAAAAUCAAAUUAAAAAAAUCUCGUGGAGUGGAGUUAUUACACGUUGCAUAGAUGACGUAAGCAUUGUCCGAAACAGAAAAAGUCAAACGCCACGUAAGCUCAGUAAGGGUAAAAAGUUUUGGAAAGGUAGAUCCUUUUCUAAAAGCGAAUGUUCCUUCUUUGCACGUUCAAGCGAUCUCAAGCCGCUCCUCUCUCUCUCUCUCUAUCAUCUCUGAAAUGGCGAGAGUACUGCGUGUGGCGAGAUCCUCCUCCUCCCUCUUCAGCUUCGGAAGCAGAUCUUAUUCAGCCGAAGCUAGCCACGUGUCCUCUCCCCCUCCUCCGUUUCUUGGAGCUCGCAGAGACGUUACCAAGGAGAGAAACGUGCAGUGGGUGUUCCUCGGUUGUCCCGGUGUCGGGAAGGGGACUUACGCCAGCAGACUCUCGAGUCUCCUCGGUGUUCCUCACAUCGCCACCGGAGAUCUCGUCCGUGAUGCGCUAGCUUCUUCCGGACCUCUCUCCCGACAGGUUCUUGUUUCACUUUAUGUCCAAAUGAAUCCCAAAACGACGUCGUUUUCUGUUUAAAUCUGCUAAAAGUUCAUGUGUCUACCAACAGAUCUAAUGAACUAGUGUUUGUUUUGUCCUAACGGAUCUGAUCCUUUUUCUAAUAAUAGUCAACGGCUCUCUCCUCUUGCUUGUAUUGAGAUUCUUAUUACUUGAUUGCAGCUAUCAGAGAUUGUAAACCAGGGGAAGCUUGUUUCUGAUGAGAUCAUAGUGAACUUAUUAUCAAAGAGACUUGAAGCUGGUGAAGCCAAGGGCGAAUCAGGUUUCAUUCUUGAUGGCUUUCCUCGUACCAUGAGACAAGCUGUAAGUUAAUUCAUUGACUUCACAUCAUAUUGAGCAAAGUUUUGAAUGAUUAAUCUUUGUGUUUUCAGGAAAUAUUAGGAGAUGUCACUGACAUCGAUCUAGUGGUGAACUUAAAGCUACCUGAGGAGGUUUUGGUUGACAAAUGCUUAGGGAGGAGAACGUGUAAUCAAUGCGGUAAAGGUUUCAAUAUAGCUCACAUCAACUUAAAGGGUGAGAAUGGGAAACCAGGAAUCAGCAUGGAUCCACUUCUCCCUCCACCUCAGUGUAUGUCAAAGCUCAUCACUCGUGCUGAUGAUACUGAGGAGGUUGUGAAAGCUAGGCUCCGUAUUUACAAUGAAACCGUAAGUCCUCUUUCUCUCUCUCUAUUGUUCUUCCCAUUUUAGCGAUGCUUGAUGCUUUGAAUGAUGUGUGCAGAGCCAGCCUCUUGAAGAGUACUACCGUAUCAAGGGAAAGCUGAUGGAGUUUGACUUACCUGGAGGCAUCCCUGAGUCUUGGCCAAGGCUGUUAGAAGCUUUAAGGCUUGAUGAUUACGAGGAGAAGCAAUCUGCCGCGGCGUAGUUCAACUACAACUCCGGUUUAUAAUUCUUUGCAUGUGGAAGACAUGUGCCUAUAUCAGUUUUGUGUUGGAAAAUAAAGAAAACCUUAGAUUGUUUUUUUUUAUUGCCUCAGAUCAGAAUAAUCAUCAUCAUACACACUUUGCAAACUAUAUGAUGUAUCAUGAUUGUUUAUGAGUUUGCUAGUUACAGGAAUGUAUAAACACUUUGGUACACUUUUGAUUAUUUAUUGUUGAAUGUGAUCAAUGAUUGUUUAUGAGUUUGCUAGUUACAUUACAUGAAUGUAUCAAUACUUACACUGCUUGUUACACAUCAGGUUUGAUGUUUGGGCUCUUGUGAUUAGUUUGUUUAUUGUUGAAUGUGUGUGAUAAUAUUGCGGCUGGCCGAGCUGGCUGGUUAAAGAACACAACCAGACAGUAAAGUAAAACAGUCGCAUACAUUAAAGAUUUUGUGGAACGUAUAACCAGCUCCUGUCUGUCCUAGAAUUGGCGGUUCGGGAUAGAACUGUUCCUUACAUACUGGAACUUCCAGUAGAAUUUGAUGCUAAUUGUUGGUCCUAAACUAGUGUGUAUCAGUUGCUAUGUGAUCUCAUAACUGGACCUUAUCUUAUGGUUUGUGCUUGAGGUUUCUGAGAAAUCGCUGGGUUCAUUUGAUUCUUCUGGUUUGACAAUUAGUUUCUUGUUAUGGACACGGUGAAAUCAGACUCAAAUCGGUGGAAUAAGACAGCCUCAAAGAAGGCAGACAUAAUCAUGUUUGCUCUUGAUUCAUCUUCAAUCUCAACAGGACAUUAAAAUCAAUUUGUAGCUUUAUUUUGUUAGUAUAUAGAUUUGAUGAAAUAAACAACCUUUAAAUUAUAAAUAUAAAGAUGAAAAUAUUCUUAAACAUGAAACCGUUUUGAUCAAGAUUCAAAAAAAACUUCAUUAAAAGAUAGGGACAUCUUCUGAAACAUAUCCAAAAAGCUCUAAUGAAAAACAGCAAGAUAAGGUCUUUGAGAUGUAAUGCAAACUCAAGGCCUAGGAAGAUCCUCCUUAACGGUUGGCCUUCGCAACUCUCUCAAUCUCAUCCUUCUUCUUGAUGGCAUAGCUGCAAAAAAACAAGACAAGAUGCUAUUAGUAUUUAGCAACAAACAAACACAAUUUGUGAACCCGCUUUAAGAGACAAGACAAUGUAAAGAUGUUUACCUGUUGGAAGAUCCCUUGGCAGCAUUGAUGAGCUCAUCAGCAAGGCACUCAGCGAUUGUCUUGAUGUUUCUAAACGCAGCUUCACGUGCACCAGUGGUGAGCAAGAAGAUGGCUUGGUUCACACGUCUUAGAGGAGAGAUAUCAACAGCCUGCCUCCUAACCACACCAGCAGAUCCAAUCCUCGUCGCAUCCUCACGUGGACCACUAGCUCACCAAUAAAACACACACAACAUUAGAAAAAAAGGUUUCUAGUAACACGCAAUAAAGAAUGCAACAUUGUUGUCUUACCUGUUGACAAUGGCAUCAAUGAUAACCUGAAUAGGGUUCAAGUCAGUCAAGAGAUGGAUGAUCUCCAUGGCGUGCUUGAUGAUCCUCACAGCCAUCAGCUUCUUUCCGUUGUUCCUUCCGUGCAUCAUGAGAGAGUUCGUGAGCCUCUCAACGAUUGGGCACUGAGCCUUCCUGAACCUCUUCACAGAGUAUCUUCCAGCAGUGUGGGGGACAAAGGUCGCGUGCUUAGCAGGCUGAACACCAAUGUAGUCAACAAGACUAAUGUCUGUGACCUACCCAUUCACAAAAAAAAAAAACACAAGAUCAACAAAACAAAUACUAAGAACAUAGCCAUUGUUGCCAAUUUAAAUUUUAGAGAUCUAAUAUUCAAAAACAAACCAAACAACACAGAAAGUGUUGGACUUUAAGACAAAGAAACAUCAGGAUCAACCAAGUGUACUGAGACAAUAAAACAUGAAUUGAAAAUUAACAAAAAUAAAAACAAAAAGAGGACAUUUUUUCCGACAUAACUCCAUGAGUUAUAUCUAAUUCAGACAAUGUAACUAUUUUUUUGUAAUAGACCAAUCAUUUCAUUGUAGAAUUAGAUCCUAUAAAGAUUGCAAAUGAGCUAUCGUAAACUUACCGAAACGUCAUCAAAGCUCCAGCGAUUGAAGAGCUUGACCUCGUUGGUAAGCUGCUGCUGAAUCUCAGCGUCAAUCUCAACGGCGGCGGCCAUGGCUGGAAACACCAAACAAAAGCUUAGCCACAAGCACACACGCAAACCAGAGAAUCGAAGAUGAAGAAGAAAUCAAUACCUCAAACUCGUAAGCGUCGUGNNNNNNNNNNNNNNNNNNNNNNNNNNNNNNNNNNNNNNNNNNNNNNNNNNNNNNGCGUCGUGUGGAGAUGAGACGGGACUAGGUUUAGCUGCAGCUACUGCUUGAAGAAGGUGGUGAGAAGAAACAAAAACCCUAAUUUUACUAGAGUAUAGGGUUUUUAAAAUGGAUUUUAUUGGGCCCAAUGGGCUUUUCGUAAGGCCCAGUCCAAGUCGUUAUACCAUAAGUCUUUAGAGCAUACUAGAAAGAGAGCAUUCAAUGCGGGAUGUCGACUUGCUAGCUCUCGUCCAUGCACCGUCCGUCGCCAUCAAUCCGUGAGUUUUUAUCGGUUUUUGUUCAAUGACUCCAACGAACUUUGAAAGAUUUGCCCACUCUUCCUUGCAAAUUAAUCACGAGAUCAUCGCCUUGUACUUGUUACUCCAUUUUGUCGUAUUAUCAUAUUUACUUGUUACUCCAUAUUGUCGUAUUAUCAUAUUUUUAUAAGAUAUUCACUAACAGUAACAGAUAAGUCAUUCUUAUCCUAAAGUCAUUUUAAUUCAGAGACGACAAAAUUUAGGAAAAAUAAAUUCUAGAUGAUUUAUCGAAAAAUAUUUGUGUGUAAUGUUAUAGUCAGUUAACUUAAUUCGUUUGCAAUUUCUAGGAAUAAAAAUAUGACAGUCUAAUUCGUUAAAUUAGUAUACUUUCCCAAAAAGACAAAUAAUACAAGCUGAUCUUGAAGAAUCAAUAAAUUAAUGUGAAAAUGAUAGACAAUGAACGUGAAGAUUGCUUGAGAUAUGAUAAGAUACUUUCAAUGCUCCCGACAAGAAAAGCAUUAAUUUGGACUCGUUGAUGCAUGGGGUAGAUAAGAGUGGACAGGGGAGCUUGCAGAGAUUGGAAACAAGUAUGGGGGAUCGAGUUUCAAGAGCAUCUCCUCAAGAAAUGAACAUGAGGAUGAGAACAUUUCUCGUCGACACACAAACUGCUAAGAUAAACUAUUGUGGUAAGAUAGAAUAUAUGUACCACAUCAAUGUCCUAGCUAAGAAUAGAUACCACAGCAAUGUUCUAGCAAAGCAAUAUUGUCGAAAGUUUGUUCAUCUAUAAUUUUCUUUUCCUUUUAAUUAAUUAAGAUGGGUGCAAUUUUUGCCUAGCAACACUAGAAUAUAGAAUAUGGACCACUUAUGUAAUUUAAGCAUGCAUAAUGGCACACUAUAAGUACUAGCUUUUAAAUAAAUAAAGUGAUCCUUCAAUUAAUUAGGUAUUUCAUAUUCUCAAAGUAAGUUAGGUAAUAAUACUUUAAUUUCCACACUUUCUUGACCCAAUAAAACUCCCCAAUAUAUUAUUUGUAGUCUACUUUUUUUUAUUAAAUUUGUAGAUAUUGUUAGAGGAAUAUAGUAUGUUUUCUUUUGAAUUAUUAUCUCUUUUUAUUUAUUUUUAUUUCAAAUAAUAAGUUUGUUUAUUUUUAAGAAGAAUAUCCUACCUCUAGUCAAUUCAAAUUGUUUGUUUCCGACCAUAUUCCAAUCAUGGUAAAUUACCCAAAAAGAACACAAAAUAAUGACGUUGAGACACUCUCAAAAGUUAGCACGUAACAAUUGUAGUAGUGAAAAGACGUCUAAGCAUAUUAAAUAUAUUUACACUUUGAAGACAAAUGCAUAUCUCAUUAUUGACUAUUCAUCAGAUAAGAAGCCAAGAGAGUACUCACUGAGACAUGAGUGGUGAUGAUUUGAGAAUGGAGCUUGCAGAGAUUGGAAAAAGCAUGGGGUCGAGUUUCAGGAGCAGCUCCUCAAGAAACGAGGAUGAGGCAGAGCAUGCUCUGCAGUGGGCUGAGAUCCAAAGAUUACCUAGUUUCAAACAACUGAGAUCAUCUCUGGUCGAUGAAGAAGGGGAUGAUGUGGAGAAAGGGAAAAGGGUCGUUGAUGUCACCAAGCUUGGAGCCAUGGAACGUCGUCUGAUGAUUGAGAAGCUGAUCAAACACAUUGAGAAUGACAAUCUCAAGCUGCUCAAGAAAAUUAGAAGAAGAAUAGACAGGUAUAUGUGAAAACAAAGAAACAAACCUUGUGAAUCUUGAACUGAGUUGUUACUUUGCAGGGUUGGUGUGGAGCUUCCAAGCAUAGAGGUGAGGUAUAAGCAUCUAAGUGUUGAAGCAGAAUGUGAGGUCGUUGAAGGGAAGGCGCUUCCAACUUUAUGGAAUUCUUUGAAGCACAUUUUCUUAGUGAGUAUACUUGAGAAUAUAAUGCAUUUUGCCAGUAGGUAGUAAAUUGUUGUGAACAAACGCGAAUUAACUUCAAAGAAAACAAAAAAAACUUGAAAAGAACAAAGCACGAUUGAGGCAAAUAUCAUUUUAAAAUUUGUAUAUUGAUUAUGUGAAUAAUUAAAUCUACAACAACUUAGACAGUUGUUAACAUAACUAGUAUUGAACUAUACUUUUUUCUUCUUUAGGAGUUGGUAAAGCUGAGUGGUGUAAGAACACAUGAAGCCAAGAUAAGCAUACUUAACGAUGUUAGCGGCAACAUUAACCCUGGAAGGUAGCUUUUGAUCCAAGCUUUGAGUUAGUGUGUAAUGCACGCAACUAAUGCUCUCUUCUUGUUGCUCCAAGGUUAACACUGCUGCUUGGUCCUCCUGGAUGUGGAAAAACUACUCUGCUCAAGGCUUUGUCCGGAAACUUGGACAAGAAUCUAAAGGUUUUCAGACUUUGUUUCAAUCUGAUUCUCAUGAUGCAGAUGUGUAAACCACAGAACUCUUUUGUUUUCCACAGAUUUCUGGUGAAAUCUCUUACAAUGGACACGGUCUAAACGAGUUUGUUCCUCAGAAGACAUCCGCUUACAUAAGCCAACACGAUCUGCACAUUGCGGAGAUGACUGUUAGGGAGACAAUAGACUUCUCAGCUCGUUGUCAAGGUGUUGGUAGUCGAACAGGUAAGAUGUCUUCUGAAGCAUCCGCUAAACUAUUUGCUGAAACAGAUAUAUCAAUUUUCUCUGUACCAAUGUUCAAAAAGUUGUUUGGCUAUAACUAUGCAUUUUAUAGAGGACUACCGAUUAGAUUGAUUAUUCGGGGCAGUGCUAACGAAAUAUUGAUUUGUUUUAUAUAUUUUUUACAUUUUUAUAUGAUAUUUUUUGGCUUUAAUUAUAAAACUAUUUUGAUGAAUUGUAAAAAUUAAAUAUACAAAAUAAAACAAAUUAGAAAAAUCUGUGGAUUUGCACUAACAUAAUUGGUUAAUUUAGAUUGAUUUAAACCAAUUUUAACUGAUUUAGAACAAUUCAAACCGAUUUGAAUCAUGCUCUAUACUAUUGGCUGAAACAGAUAUUAUGAUGGAGGUCAGUAAAAGAGAAAAGGAUGGUGGAAUCAUUCCUGACCCUGACGUAGAUGCUUACAUGAAGGUCCCAUUCCAUAAGCUAAUCUUUUAAGAGGGAUGAUUAUAAAACCUUUUGUUAAUCCCAUUGUGCAGGCUAUAUCGGUUAAUGGACUUAAAAGAAGUCUACAAACAGAUUACAUCUUGAAGGUAAUUUCUCUGACAACAACUCAGACUUGUAAUCCUUGUUGAUUAGCUUCUUGAUUAUGUCAUGUAUUUGCAAUUUGCAUUUCUUUUUCUUCAGAUCCUAGGGCUUGACAUAUGUGCAGAAACAUUGGUUGGUAAUGCCAUGAAAAGAGGCAUAUCUGGUGGUCAAAAGAAGCGUCUUACUACAGGAGAGAUGAUCGUUGGUCCAACAAAAGCUCUGUUUAUGGAUGAAAUCACAAACGGCUUAGACAGCUCCACAGCGUUUCAGAUAGUUAAGUCACUUCAGCAGCUGGCUCACAUCACCGACGCAACUGUGUUUGUUUCCCUUCUUCAGCCUGCUCCAGAGUCAUAUGAUCUCUUUGACGAUAUUGUCUUGAUGGCUGAAGGAAAAAUAGUUUAUCAUGGUCCAAGAGGCGAGGUCUUGAGGUUCUUUGAAGAGUGUGGGUUUAGAUGCCCAGAGAGGAAAGGUGUUGCAGACUUUCUACAAGAGGUAAGAAGCCAAGUUUAUGUUCCUUGACACUUACGUUUUGUUCUGAGUUGUUUUUGUUUUGCAGGUUAUAUCUAGGAAGGACCAAGGACAGUACUGGCUGCACCAGGACAUACCCUAUACCUUUCUCUCAGUAGACGCGUUGUCCAGGAGAUUCAAGGAGUUAGAGAUUGGGAGAAAGAUUGAGGAUGCUCUCUCUAAGCCCUAUGAUAAUUCAAAAACCCACAAGGAUGCUCUCUCUUUCAGUGACUAUUCUCUUCCAAAGUGGGAGCUGUUCAGAGCAUGCAUCUCAAGAGAGUUUCUAUUAAUGAAGAGAAACUCUUUCGUCUACCUCUUCAAGACGUUUCAGGUUACAUUCUUCGUUCCUUGUGUCUUCUUUCAAUGUUCUAGGGUUAGGUCUAAAGAAACCCUUCUUGCCCUUUAUGUUUUGCAGCUUGUUCUGUCAGCAAUCCUCACUAUGACAGUUUUUAUUAGAACACGUAUGGGUGUAGAUAUCAUUCAUGGAAACUCUUACAUGAGUUGUCUCUUUUUCGCAACCGUUGUGCUUUUGGUGGAUGGUUUGCCAGAGCUGUCUAUGACUGUUCAACGUCUUGCCGUGUUCUACAAGCAAAAGCAACUUUGUUUCUAUCCAGCUUGGGCUUAUGCAAUCCCUGCAACCGUGUUAAAGAUCCCUCUCUCUUUCUUCGAAUCUCUCGUUUGGACUUGCCUUACUUACUACGUCAUUGGAUACACUCCUGAAGUCUCUAGGUAAGAAGAACUCUAUAACCAUCUCUUGCUUGCUCCCUACUCAAACGAUUAUGGAAAGUAAUGGUUACUUGGUGUUUUUAGGUUCUUACGUCAGUUCAUGAUGCUCUUUGCUGUUCACUUCACAUCCAUAUCCAUAUUCCGAUGUAUAGCUGCAAUCUUUCAGACAGGAGUUGCUUCAAUGGCAGCUGGUAGUUUCGCCGUAUUAAUCACCUUUGUGUUCGCCGGUUUCGCCAUCCCAUACAGUAAGACUUUUGCACUCUUUCUUCAUUUCAGUCUUGUUCCAAACUUCCAUCAAAACAUGACCAGGGCCGGAUCUAGGCACAGCCCAAUAAAACAUCGGUCUCGGUCCCUAAAUUUUUUGAAAUUUUUAGUACGAAUAAACCCCUAAACUAUAGAAAAAAAAAAUUGUUUUACUAAGAUUUUUAAAUGUUUCAAGCUCCCAAAAUCUCAUAUCCGGCCCUGAACGUGACAUUGGUUUUGUUGCUGCAGCUGAUAUGCCAGGGUGGCUGAAAUGGGGAUUCUGGGUGAAUCCUAUAGGUUACGCAGAGAUUGGGCUCUCUGUAAACGAGUUUCUUGCUCCGAGAUGGCAGCAAGUAAGUAUCUCAUCUUUUUACAUACUUCUCUUCAUCAUUCUUACAAGACUAAUCAAGUUUUUCUUGUUAUGUUUUGUAGAUGCAACCAACGAAUGUUACAUUGGGGAGAACCAUACUUGAAAGCAGAGGACUGAACUAUGAUGAUUACAUGUACUGGGUCUCAUUAUGUGCCUUGCUGGGACAGACUCUCCUCUUCAAUACUAUUUUCACUCUAGCUUUGAGUUUCUUGAAAUGUAAGUUACAAAAUAUCGAAAAAUAUGCCAUGGACUAAAGCAUAAACUGAAGAGCUUCUUUUUUAACAGCUCCCACUACAUCUCGCGCUAUGAUCUCCAAAGACAAGCUCUCUGAGCUGCAAGGAACAAAAGAUUCAUCACUCAAUAAGAACAAGAAGGCAAUAGAUUACACAGAAGAUUCAGGUGAAACAUAUAUGUCUUUCUUGUCAUACAAGCAAACUCUUUAUUCUCAGUUUAGCUUUAUUGACCUAAUUCAUUCAGCAGGGAAGAUGGCCUUACCUUUUAAGCCUCUCACCAUAACAUUUCAAGAUUUGAACUACUACGUUGACGUUCCUGCGGUAAAAUCUUCUCCUCCCCAUCCUUGGAUCUUAACCAUCUUCAUAUGCAAACAUGAUCAUCAAAGGACGUUUUGACUAAUCUUAGGAGAUGAGAGUUCAAGGAUACAAUGAGAAGAAACUGCAGCUUCUCUCAGAUAUCACCGGAGCUUUCAGACCAGGCGUUCUAACAGCGUUGAUGGGGAUCAGUGGAGCCGGAAAAACAACUCUACUCGACGUUCUCGCCGGAAGAAAAACAAGCGGAUACAUCGAAGGAGAGAUCAGAAUCAACGGAUACUUUAAAGUCCAAAAAACCUUCGCAAGAGUCUCAGGCUACUGCGAGCAAACAGAUAUACACUCACCAAACAUCACCGUCGAGGAGUCUCUAAUCUACUCAGCUUGGCUCCGUCUAGUUCCAGAAAUAGAUCACAAAACCAAAAUAGUAAGCCGGCCCUAGUGAUUCUAAAAAAGGCAAGAAUGACCUAGAAAGUAACUUGACUGAAAAGAAACUCGUUGCAGAGAUUCGUGAAGGAAGUUCUUGAGACGAUAGAGCUGGAGGAGAUCAAGGACGCGAUGGUGGGAGUCCCCGGCCAGAGCGGGCUGUCGACGGAGCAGAGGAAGAGGUUGACGGUGGCGGUGGAGUUGGUGGCGAAUCCUUCGAUCAUAUUCAUGGACGAGCCGACGACGGGGCUGGACGCAAGAGCAGCAGCCAUUGUGAUGAGAGCUGUGAAGAACGUUGCGGAGACUGGACGUACCAUUGUGUGCACUAUUCAUCAGCCUAGUAUCGAUAUUUUUGAAGCCUUCGACGAGGUACAUAUGUUUUUCAAAUAUGAAAAGUAUUUAUAGUGGUUUUGUUUUAAAAGAAUACUCUCACAUGUAUUAUAUUAACAUUUUAUCCAAAAGUAGAUAUAAGAGAUUUUUUUUCUUCAAAAUAGCCUUUAUCAAAAAUUUGAAAAUUAUAGAAUAAUUGAGUUUAGGGUUUAAAAGGGAUGGGUGAGAUUAGGUUUUAUAAAUUAAAGUAACUUAAUUUUUUUUAUUUAAAUGAGUGUGUUUUGAAGAUCUGUUAGUGUUAUAUUUGUGAUAAACUUUAAAAGUGCUAUUUUGGAGUUUUGACUAUUUUGUGGAUAAUUAAGAAGAAAUUUCUUAUAACAUAUUGUUUUUAUUACAUGUUCAGUUGGUACUUCUGAAGAGAGGAGGUCGCAUGAUUUACACUGGACCACUUGGACAACAUUCUUCUCAUGUCAUACAGUAUUUUGAGGUUAGCGUGUUAUACAAGAAAAUGAGCCAGUUUAGUUUCUAUGACUUUUUCAAUGUUUUAACGAAAUAAUUAACUAUGUAUAUUUUUGUUAUUUGGGGUUAAUGAACAGAGUAUCUCUGGAGUUGCUAAGAUUAAAGACAACUACAAUCCAGCAACAUGGAUGCUAGAGGUCACUUCACAGUCUGUAGAGAUUGAACUCAACAUGGAUUUUGCAAAAAUCUACAAAGAAUCUGCUCUCUACAAGUGAGCUGAAUAUCUCAAAAACAACUGAAACCUUGUCAUUUAUUACGAGCUCAUGUGUUUUCUCUGUAGCAGGAGCAACUAUGAGCUUGCUCAGGAGCUGAGCAAACCGGAUCCCGGGUCAAGCGAUUUACAUUUCGAGAGAACUUUUGCGCAGAGCUGGUGGGAACAGUUCAAAUCUUGUCUAUGGAAGAUGAGCUUGUCUUACUGGAGAAGCCCUGCUUACAACUUGAUGCGAAUCUUUCACACUUUAGUCUCUUCUUUGAUCUUUGGUUUACUCUUCUGGAAGCAAGGUCAAAAGAUGUAAGUUAGUUGCAUAAAAUACAUUCAAAUCAUCAUUAGAGCAUGUUCAUUAGUGAGACCCUUAAGUGUCUCUUAAGUGGGGUUUAAUAAUUUUUUAACUAUUAAAUUUAAUAUAAGAGAUUUUGUUAAGAAACACUUAAUUAUAGUGGUUUAUUGGUGGUUUCUUAAUUAAGGUGCUUAACAAAUAAAAAAAUAUUAAACUUUUUUUAAACAUAAAAUUUUAAACAAAGAUUAAUUUUAUUUAUUAAAUAAAACAAAGUCAAACAUAACAUUUUAAACAUAGAUUUUAAAAUAAAAAAAAUUAAAACAUUAAAACAAAGAUUACUAAAAUAAACAAUACUAAUUUUAAAGCGGCAUCCAAGUUCAGUUGUUGUGUUGAUCACGUCCAAAUUUAUGCCAUAUAUGUUCAACCAAAUCACCUUUCAGUUGUUGAUGCGCUUGUCUAUCACGAAUUCUUGUUCGAACACCCAUCUGAUUGGCGAUAUUUGUAGGGAUAUCUGUAGAAUAUGUUAAAUCUACAUAUGAACUUCUGCUGCCUUCGCCUUGUUGGAAUCCCGAGACAUCAAACUAACUGCAUUCAUCCCGUUCGUUUUCUACUAUCAUAUUAUGGAGUAUGAUACAUGCUCUCAUAAUCUUCCCAAUCUUGACUUUAUCCCAACAAAGUGCUGGAUUUUUAACAAUGGCAAAUCGAGCUUGCAAGACUCCGAAAGCACGCUCGACAUCUUUUCGGGCAGCUUCUUGAUGUUGAGCAAAUAAAACUGCUUUCGGCCCUUGUGGAAGUGAAAUAGAUUGGAUGAAAGUUGCCUAUUUCGGAUAAAUUCUAUCGAUCAGAUAGUAAGCCAAAUCAUACUCUUUUCCGUUGACUGAGAAAUUCACUUGCGGGGCUUGACCAUUUAUGAUGUCAUCAAAAACAGGUGAGCGAUCUAGAACAUUAAUAUCAUUUAAGGUACCUGGAGGUCCAAAAAACGUAUGCCAUAUCCAGAGAUCAUAUGAAGCAACCGCCUCUAAAACUAUUGUGGGUUUCCCCGAACCACGAGAAUAUUGCCCUUUCCAAGUGGUGGGACAAUUCUUCCACUCCCAAUGCAUACAAUCGAUGCUUCCUAUCAUCCCGGGAAAUCCACGAACCUCUCCAAUAUAAAGUAGACGUUGAAGGUCAUCCGGUGUUGGUCUUCUUAGGUACUCAUCGCCGAACAAAUUUAUGAUUGCUUCCACAAAAUUUUCCACACAUAACCGAACAGUGGUUGCACCGAGCCUGAGGUAUUCGUCGACCGCAUCAAGCGCAGAACCAUAUGCCAACACACGAAUAGCUGCUGUACACUUUUGAAGCGGGGAGAGACCUUGCCUUCCGGUAACAUCCUUCUUCUGACGAAAGAAUUGGACUUCGUUGGAGAGGCGAUCAACAAUAUACAUGAACAAAGGCUUGUUCAUUCUAAAUCGACGUCGGAAUAGAUUUGCUGGAUAUGUCGGCGCGUCACUGAAAUAAUCAUUCCAUAACCGGAGAUGGCCUUCUUCACGAUUUCUUUCAAUAAAAACUCUCUUUUUCUUUUUCUUCCUUUGAUCUUGUUGAUCACCAUAAACAUUGCACAAAUUCUCAAAUGUUUGUUCGAAAGUCUGAUCAAAAUAUUUAUCGAACAUUUCAUCAAAUGACUCAUCCAAAUCAAAUGACUCAUCCGAGAUGUGAUUUGAAGACGAAGCCAUGAAAGACUUGAUUUCGAAAAUUUAAGAAUGGUGAGUGUGUGAACGUGAGAUGAAAAAGAGAAGGAAGAGAGAACAAAGAGAACCGAGAGAAUGAGAACGUAGAGAAUUGUGAGUAUGAUCAGUUUUUAUUUUACAAAGAGAAUGAAGAACCGAGAGAAGAACAUGAGACUAUAGAGAUAGAGAAUGGUAAGAGAGAAUGGUGAUUUCUUUACGCUCUCAGCACAAACAUUUUAUAACCGUCACCGUUAGAGAGAGAGAGCUCGCCGUUGUCCAUCGUCGACGAGAGAAACCCAUAGAAACGUCGACAAGCUCAACGGAGAGGGAGAGAGAGGAAACGCCGUUUCGUCGACGAGAUCACCGAGACAGAGAGAGAGAGAGAGAGAGGAAUCACCUUUUCGUCGAGGAGAGCACCGACAGAGAGAGAAAGAGCUCGCCGUUGUCCAUCGUCGACGAGAGAAACCAAUAGAGACGUCGACGAGCUCAACGGAGAGGGAGAGAGAGGAAACGCUGUUUCGUCGACGAGAUCACCGAGACAGAGAGGGAGAGAGAGAGGAAUCGCCUUUUCGUCGAGGAGAGCACCGACAGAGAGAGAAAGAGCUCGCCGUUAUCCAUCGUCGACGAGGAAUAUCCAUAGAGACGUCGACGAGCUCAACGGAGAGGGAGAGAGGAAUCGCCGUUGUCGUCACUCUUGCGGAGCAACCGAGAAGAGAAAGGAAAGAGAGAAAGAAACAAGAACGACUUCACCGUUCGGAGAGCCAAUAACGACGUGACACGUCGCCCAAAUUACCGUGUCUUCGAGCACUUAAUUAGGGGACGUCCCUUGGCUUUAUUUCGUGUUUUCCAUUUUUUUUUAUGAUUAAUUAAGUUAAGGGACAUGCUUAAGAGCUGCCUUUGAACAUGCUCUUACAUUCCUAGUAAAGAACUGUCUCACACAUUAGGAAAGUACUAUUUUAUUUCAAAAAUAGCACACAAGAAUAUUUUUUUCCAAAAGAGUAUUAACUAAAAGUAUAUGGGUGUGGAUUUAGUGAUUAUGAUUUAGGGUUUAAUAUUUAGAGAGUGGAGUUAGGGUAAGAGUUUAGGAUACAGAGUAAUUUAGUCAAUUUAAUCUUUAACUAAUUAUAGUUUGAGAAUUUUUCUCUUAUGUUCUAUUUUUGUCAUAAUUGUUUGUAUUUUUUUUUUUUUGGCAGAGAUACUCAACAGAACUUGUUCACAGUUCUUGGAGCCAUCUAUGGCCUUGUGAUAUUCUUGGGGGUAAACAACUGCACUUCAGCUUUACAGUAUUUUGAGACAGAGCGUAACGUUAUGUACCGCGAAAGAUUCGCUGGAAUGUACUCUGCCUUUGCCUUUGCACUGGCUCAGGUUGUGACCGAGAUUCCUUACAUUUUCAUCCAAAGCGCAGAGUUUGUGAUCAUAAUAUAUCCUAUGAUGGGUUUAUACGGAUCUGCCUAUAAAGUCUUUUGGAGUCUCUACUCAAUGUUCUGCAACUUACUCUCCUUCAACUACUUAGCAUUGUUCCUCAUCUCCAUCACUCCAAACUUCAUGCUCGCAGCUAUUCUCCAGUCUCUUUUCUUCGUUGCUUUCAACCUUUUUGCUGGAUUCUUGAUUCCACUACCGGUAAGUUCUUUUUGUAACAAGUCAUUAUAUACCAUUAUCAUCAUCGUUGAUCUUUACCUAUAGUUAAUAGUGUUUUUCCUUGAUGUUGAAACAAUGCAGCAAAUACCAAAGUGGUGGGUGUGGCUUUACUAUCUAACACCUCCCUCUUGGAGUCUCAAUGUGUUUUUCUCGUCUCAGUACGGUGAUAUUCAUCAAGAGAUCAAUGCAUUUGGAGAAACCACGACCGUGGCGAGAUUCUUAGAGGACUAUUUUGGAUUCCAUUAUGAUCGUUUGAUGACUUCAGCCAUUAUUCUCAUAGCGUUUCCAGUUGCAUUGGCUUCUAUGUUUGCUUUCUUUGUUGCCAAACUCAACUUUCAGAAACGAUGAUCCAUCACACACCAACCAAAGGUUUGAAACACCAAAGGGUAGUUUACAAAUUACUGUAUGGACAUGCACGUAUUCGUUGUCACACUAUUUGUAAACACUAAACAAAUGCAAAAUUUAUUUAUAAAAUCAUAAGAAAGUUGGAUAUACUCUAAUGCAUCAAAAUAAAUAGGUCUACAACAUAAUAGUAACUCUCUUAUUUUUUUACCAUAGAGAAAUGAUCUACGGCUGAAUACUUCAAAUAUUAAUUAGUAUACUGCUUCAUGCAAUUGAAAUGAAUAGUAAAGUAUACUGCUUCCUUUAUUCAGGCACAUCAUAAUUUUCAAGAAGAAACGUCAUUUUCUUUCUUUGAUCACAAAAGACACAAGAAGAAAGAGACAUGUGUGUGUCUUGUCGUCCUCCCCAUCUCUACUAACACUUUGAAUUUAAUACUGUCAAACUCAAAGGUCUCCUAAAGCCUAAUUAAUCCCUUUAUGAUCACAUGCCCUUCUCCUUCCUCUCUCUCUCUCCAUUCUCCUAGUACCCAUCAAGAACUUCCACAAAAGUAUUAAACUGUAGCUUCAGGAUCCAACCUCAGAGAAACGGUUCUCAAUCAAGGUUAUUUGAGUAUUGGAUAUUCUUGAUUCUUGAACUCAGGAAAAGUCAUUACUAGCCUGUGAUUCUGCUUCAUGACUUGAGGUUGAAGCAACAACACUUUCUUCACCAGAAGAAACAUCUUUGAUCUUUGAACUUAACUCUUCUUUUUCUUCUUCCACGGAGGCAACAUUUUCAGUUUCUUGAUCAAUGUUUUCUUCCUCAACAAAUCCAUUUCCAUGAGUUUCUUUUUCCUCUCCUUCUUCCUUGGAAGCUGAGGUGGAAACCGAUGAUAAACAAGAAACUUCAGAUGAACUCAACUGCUCUGAUCCUUCAGAACUGCGAGACCCUUUUAUGGAUUCAAGCUUUUUCAUCAGAAACUUUAGUCUCUUCUCUGCUUUCUCCCUUAAUCUGAUCUCUUCUUUCAGAUUUUUCUCCAGCUCUUCCAUCUGUUUCCAAGAGAUUAAAGGUUUUCUUUGAAACAAAAAUCAGCUUAUUACCAAACAAAGAUUAAAAAAAAUAAAAAUAACAGAGCAAAUGAAUUUACAAGUAACAAGAAUGACUCUUUUCUUGGUUGUUGAUUAAACCCAAAUCUUCAAAAAAGUAGUGAGAAAAAGGCAUUUCUUAAACAAGAAUGAUGAUACUAAGGAUUUUAUGAAACUUACCUUUCUGGUAAUGAGGUCUGCUUCAUCUUUUACAGACCUUGAAACUUGCCUCUCUGCAAGCAGUCUCCCUCUUAGACACUCCACAGUUCUCAGAUUUCCCUUCUCUUCUCCUUCCUCCAUCUUCUUACUUGCAAAAUUUGUUCUUAAACAAAAAAAAAGAAGAUAAAAAUCAAUUCCUCAUAUACACUCUCUACAUAGAACUUUCUUAAAAUCACACAAUACGACAUAUACAUGUAUAUAAAGAGAAAGAGAAACCUGCAUUUCGUGUUGUAAUUGAAGGGAUCAAUUGUCAUACUGUUCUUUAUAUAUUCAAAAACCAGAACCAGAUUGGUAAAAGCUUGUAAAGCUCAACUUCUCACCUAACUGCAAAAAGGGUAAACUAAAAAUAAUAAGACAGUUAAGACCAAUGUGUUGUUAGAUUGAUGUCACUAUGAUUUACAUUUAUUGUUCAUUCAGUAAGAGGAACAUAUCAACAUCAUAUCUUAAAAACCAACUUACCACGACACAGUCGACACUCUUCUUUAACAAAAAAAAAAAAAAAAUCUCAAGUUCAAAUAGUAAAACAGAUCCAGUUUCAAAUUCAAACCCCCUCACUUGGUAGAGAAGAGUGAAAUGAACUUAAAACCACAAAAGUUUUGAAGUUCUCCUGAAAAGAAGAACAGAAUCUGUGGUGUAGGGACAUGUUGUAAGCAAAACGACAGUGUGGGAUUGGACUUUUGUUACCUUCUCGUGAGUUGGUUGGUAACUCUCCCACUUCAAGACCUUUUUUAUGGUUAAUAAAUUUAACUUCUUACUACAAGGUUAGUUUUAUAUUAUAUGAUACCGCAAAUAUGCAUGUGAACAAGAGGAGUCAUCCUAUUUGUUAAUAUUAAACCAUAUUGCUAUACAAUUUUAGUUUUACCAAGUGUCACAGAUCCCUUCGUCAACAAUAUCACAACAAUACAAAAACAACAUUUCUUGGCCACACAGAAAGUUAAUGCUCCCAAGUCCCAACCUCUCGCUAUAAUUUUACUAAAUAGUUUGUGUUAAUUUUCUUUUUCAAAUUAGAUAAUUAGUUACCAACACGCAAAGAAAACAUUCGAGUGAUUAAGAGCUCACUUGUACUUCACUCAAAGAUCAAAGUAAUUACCAUAACCCUUUUAAUCAAACUAUACUUAUUUUGUGAAGCAACCUAAUGAAUAUAUUCUUGUUCUUAUUAGGAACCCCGCCACUUCAAUCCAAGCCACUUAGUAACUCUCAAGUUAUAGCGAGCUUGGGUAUGAUCUUACCGAUCAUUCAAAGUUAUGUUCACUGACAACAAUAAAAACUACAUAUCAUGAAAAGCAAAAUCAUUACACAUAAACUCUUUUAGAAGCCCCACAAGAAACCCUUUUGAACUCAUUCGACUUCACGGCAAGAAAAUCAAAAAGCUUCAUCAAGCUCUUGUUUCAUGAUACACUCCUUGUCACUCAUCGACUCAACCACACCCUCUAUCAUCUCAUACAUCUCGUUGCUUCUCUCACACGAACCAUCUUUCGCAAUGAAACUUCGUAAUCCUUUACCAGUAUCGAUCCAGCUAGUUCCAGGGAUUUUCUUCAAUCCGAUUUUUUUCAUCUUAUCCCUUACCAUCUCAGCUUCUUCCCAUCUCCCUGCUUGAGUGCAUAGAUUCGCCAUGAUAGUGUAACUCCCUGUAUUUUCUGGUUACAAAAAUAGUAAUACUUAUAUAUAAAAAUUAAUUUUAUUUAAUAUAUUUUCAUUUUUAUAAUAGUAUAUAUAAAUUUNNNNNNNNNNNNNNNNNNNNNNNNNNNNNNNNNNNNNNNNNNNNNNNNNNNNNNNNNNNNNNNNNNNNNNNNNNNNNNNNNNNNNNNNNNNNNNNNNNNNUAUCAUUUUCGUUAAUGUAAUAGGAGGGCCAACCCAAACAGAGAUUGUCAUGAGCGAGAUAGACACACCAGAGAGCUUUCAGCUUAUGGAGUUUGGAGUUAUUUUCGAGGCGACGAAUCACUUUUCCGAAAGCAACAAAGUCGGACAAGGUGGUUUUGGUCCAGUUUACAAGGUAUUUUAAUUUCUCUAGCUAUUUGGACCGAAUCAAAUUAAACUUGAAUCGGCCGGUGACUUGUCUUUCAUUCAACUAAAAAACUAAUAAUAAUAAGGGAAAAUGUGAUGGUAUUGCAGGGAACCUUGCCUGAUGGAAACGAGAUCGCAGUAAAAAGAUUGAAAGCGAGAUCAUCUCAGGGGAUGGCAGAGUUCCGAAAUGAAGUGACUCUGAUUUUACGUGUACUACACGUGAACCUCGUCCGACUUCUAGGCUGUUGCAUCCAUGGAUACGAUAGACUAUUGGUCUACGAGUUCCUGGAGAAUUCUAGCCUCAGCAGCUAUAUCUUCAGUUACUCUCACUCUCUCUCUCUCUAUUCUAGAAUUUACUUGUUAUUUUGUAAACUUUAAACUUGAUUCGUUUUGUUUUUGAUUGAUUACCUCAGAUCAAACUAGAAGCCCGCUCCUAAACUGGGAGCAUAGGUUCGAUAUAAUGAAAGGUAUUGCUGAAGGAUUGUGCUACCUCCACAACUUCACAAGCCCACCGAUACUUCACCGCGACCUGAAACCAAGUAAUGUGCUUCUAGGCAGAGACAUGAUCCCAAAAAUCUCAGAUUUUGGGCUGGCUCAGAUGAUGGAAACUGGCACCACAGAAGCUGCAAUGGAAACAGCAGUAGGAACUUAGUAAGCAUCAACAAAUUGUUAAAACUUUCUUCUUCUUCUUUUUUUUUUUUUCACUAAAACAAAAUCACAAUCAAUUAAUUAAAUCCUCUUUUGUUUGUUUUUUGUGCAGCGGCUACAUGUCUGAAGAAUAUGCGAAAGAUAAUAUCAUGUCCCAGAAAUCAGAUGUCUUCAGUUAUGGAGUAGUGUUGUUAGAGAUUCUUACUGGAAGGAGAAAUCAUGAGUAUUGUAUUGCAAAUCCAGGAGAUAGUCUUCUCGACUUCGUAAGUUUAAUUUUUCUUUGUAUUCUUAAAAUUUUAAAGAAAAUUUAUAUUUUAGAGUUUUUUAAAAAGGUUUGGAGGCGAUGGAAGGAUGGUACUGGAUUGGAGGUCGUGGAUUCGAGCUUCCAUGAUGAUUCAUUUAUAGAAGACCAGGUUUUACGAUCAAUGAAGAUUGGUCUAUCCUGUGUUCAACAAAAUAUGCACGAUAGGCCUAGUACAAGGACCAUUGUGGUUAUGUUUGAAAAUGGCCCACGAUCAGAAAUUCUAGAUCCGACGAGACCAAACUAUAAUCUCACAAGAGCUGAUUCAUCUUCUUCUCCAGUUACCGUUACCGACCAAUCAGUCACUAUUAACGAGGCCACUUUGUCAUGCACUGACGCCAGGUGAUGUUUUUAUGUAGUGCGUUUUUCUACUAGUUUACUUAAAAAAAAAAAAAUUUGAACUAUCAUUCCUAUGUUAUGUUUAAUUUCAUGUGUUUUUUCUUCUAGUUUACUCUUUGAAAAAAUAACUACUAUUAUUCAUAUGUAAUGUUUUUAGUUGUUUGGGUCUCAGUGCGGGAGACUGAUACUUUAAUGGUUUAUCUCUUUUGCUAUGCACUUAAUGACAACGAACAUAAUAUCUCGAUAUAAUAAUUAACAACUAGGAUGAGACAAAACCAAAACCAAAACCAAAGGCAACAAGUUACAAGACAAACUGUUCAAAGUCAAUCUAAUCACAAAGAUAAACCCAGUUACAUAAUAUCCCACCUAUUUUUGUUUUUUAGCUGGUGUUUGAUCGAUGUUCUUCACCUGCAAGCAAAAAUGUGGCUUUAGCUGCUUCCUCUUUUGGUGUCUGAAAUGCUUUAAGAACAGAGAGAGAGAGAGGGAGAGCAAAAUUGUUUUACUGGGCCGCAUUCUAAAUAGUACGGCUUUGGUAAUUAUGUAAACAUAUCUUAUACCGAGACAAAUAAGAAUUAAAUUAAGUUAUCCUAUCAAUUAAUUUCAAAACCUCCACUUAGUCUAAUGAUUAACGGAAUCAUUUGGUUAGAAUAAUUAUUUAGCCAUAAACACCAAAAUCACAUGGAACAUAAGCUCAAUUACCUGUUUGGUGCCUUCAACAGAAGAAGUACGACCCCAUCUCUCAGGGGUCCCAAAGUAUGCUACUGUUGAAAGCAAAGCUUGAUAUAUGAACCGGAGGCUUUAUCUCUGUCUUGUUAUUAAUUUUUCUCAAAUGCCACCCCAAAACUUGUGAAGAUUCACAAACCGGCCUCUCUACUAUCACUCGCUUCCUAUUAGCUGAUACCAAUAUGUAUACAUUGUUUAGCCCCGCAAAAUGGACUAUCCCGCUUUGUUUGUGAUGCUCAAUGUGUCUCAACGCUAGGUUCCUUUGAUGAUCAAGCUCAAAUUCAAAGCUCGUGAAGUUUUCUUUGAAGACUAUACGUCUAUACAUUAAACCAGUUUUUCUUAACAUUGUUGGUGAAGAGUUUUCUUCAGCAUCGGAGUGUUUCUCCACGACUAUCCACAAUAAAGGAGGUGGAACUAGCCUCAAAGUAUUGGCCAUUCUCCUAAGGAGCACAAUUUUGUAACGAUCUUUCGUCAUUACCCAGAGUUACAACAAUCACUAGACCUCUUGGUGCAACUUCUUCUUCUUCUGUCUUGGAGAGUGAUCUGGUUUCUUGUUCAGGUUCUUGUGACUUCAAAGGUGCUGGGGCCUGACCUUGGGAACUGUUCAAUGCUUUAUCAACGAGAGGAUUGUGUGUAUAGGUAGAGUUCUCAAAAGGUUGGGAAGGAAUCUGAGAUUUAGUGGUAGUAGAGGGGGUGGUUUCGAAAUUAUAGAAAAGUGAAGCCUUACCAGCAGGAGCAAAGCCAGUGAUGAAACACAUUACAAAACAUAGAGAGAAAUGGAUCACAGCUUUCUUCCAUACCUGAGUUUUCUUCUUUGAUCUCUCCAGAGAUCCCAUCAGGAUCCAACCCUAAGAAGAAGUUUUUCUUAAUUAAGUGAUUUUCCUUUUAUUUUUUGGGAAGAACAAUCUAGUUUGAAGAGUAUGAAAUAUAAGGGCUUUUAUGACAUUUGUAUAGUUUUUGUCUUUAUAUUGUUGGUAAAUGAUUAAAACCGGCGAGCUACGUAGGAGUACGUUCUCUUUGAUUGAUUGCGUGUGUUGGUUGUGUUCUGCAACAACUUGUUGGGAUCAUUGGAACUCACUAGCUAGCUGAAACAUGUUUGGGAAAUAUAAGAAAAUUACUGUUAAUAUAGCAAAUAUAUUAAAAUUAAACUUUGCUUAUUAAUGACUCUUAAUGCAAGUAAUUAAGUAUUAUUUUAGUUGUUGUUGAUGACUGAUGAGUAAGGUUAUGAUCAAGAUAGGAACUUUUGAGAGUACCUAAUAUAGAGGAUAGUAGUCUUCAAAAAGUGUGAAGUGAUGAAACUUGAAGUUGAAAGAGACAAUCCAAAAAAUAAAUAUUAACAUGUCAUCGUGGUUUAUAUUAUGCACUUUAACAAAUGGAUAUCAUUUUUACCGUUAUAUCAAGCCAUGUAAAUACAUACCACCACAAACAAGUCGUUUUCUCAAGAAAGUUAGAAAAGAGAUCAAGCUGGACGAGGAGUGAGCCUAUCUUUGGCCGCCGUGUCUCCACGGUGGAGGCCAGAGGAGAUACGCAAGCAAGAAGAAGCCCCCCGAGAAACGCUCUGUUACUAACUCGGUGUUCUUGGAGCAAGAACAAGAAGAGACAAAGGAACCUCAUGAUGAUGACGUCAUUGUCGGAGAACCCAAGGUUGUGCAUUUAAUAUUCAGUUCAUUUAAUACAUCAGUCAAGUCACAUUUCCAAGAAAAUACUCCACUAACGAAGGCGUCUUUGUCUAUUUUUAAUUCGUUCCUUAACGCGUACGGAACGCGGCCCAAUAAAAUAAUUACUUUAAUUCUAUUUUAAGUCUCUGCUUCUCUACCUUCUUUCCUCUUUGUAAGAUCAGAGAGAGAGCGUUUGUUGAGAAGAUCUUAUUAGAAGGUGAAUAUCAAUCAGAACAUGGCGAAAGAAGACAACCACGAAGCUCAACGAUGCGAGUGCGAGGAUCAUGAGGAAUCGAGUCCUCUCUUGCAAGUUAACGAAAGCAAGAUCUGCUCAAAAGGGGACACCACCAAGACGGCGGAGGAAUAUGGCUGGACGGCGGAUGGAUUGCCGGUGAGCCAAGGGAGCGUGAUCGGCGAGCCGAUCGGGAGAAACCAAUGGAGUUCCGGUCUUUUUUCCUGUCUCGGCCGAAACGACGAGUUCUGCAGCAGCGAUCUCGAAGUUUGUGAGUCUUUAUGUUCUGUCUCAAUGAUUAGUGUCUGAAAUUUGGGAUUUUUUUGUUAAUGGGUUUCUUGAUUUGGUGGAGGAUGAAUUGUAAAGUUUUGAUUUUGAUGUGUUUUUCACUGUUGGUGAGUCUUGCUUGUGUUCUGUCUGACUGUCUCAAUGGUUAUUGUCGGAAAUUUUGGUUUUUUUUUUAUUUGGUAGAGAUUGAAUUGGAAAGUUUUGAUUUUGAUGUGUUUCACGGUUGGUGAGUCUUGUGUUCUGUCUCAAAUGAUUAUUGUCGGAAAUUUGAGGUAUUCCCUAAUGGGUUUCUUGAUUUGGUGGAGAUUGUAUUAGAAAGUUUUGAUUUUGAUGUGGUUCAUGGUUGGUGAAAAGACUCAAAUCUUUUACAUCUUAAUGGCUUCUUCUUUGUUAGGUCUCCUUGGAAGUGUGGCUCCAUGUGUGCUGUAUGGAAGCAAUGCAGAGAGGCUUGGGUCUGCUCCUGGAACGUUUUCGAAUCACUGCUUGACGUAUUUGGGGUUGUACUUUGUCGGCAACUCUCUAUUUGGAUGGAACUGCCUUGCUCCAUGGUUCUCUUAUUCUAGCCGCUCUGCCAUUCGCCGAAGGUUUAACCUUGAGGUAAUGAUCAAAUUAUCUGGUAUUUAAUCCGGAAAAAAACUGAAAAAUCUGUUUUUAUAUCUGAAUUAUCUGAAAUUAUCUGAGAAAAAGGAACCGAACCGAAAUUUUGUAUUAGUCAGUUUUUAACAUUGUUGCCCGAACCAAAAACGGAAAUAACCAAAACCGAACCAAAUUUCAAAUAAUCAAACGGUUCCUAUAUCUCUAGAACCGAAAAUCGAAAAAAAAAAAGAACUGGAAGUGAACGCCAAGCCUAGUUGUACUCUAAGAAAAGAGUCAAUCAACUCCUCUCUUUAUAUAUCUUCUUGGUUGUGUACCACUCUCUGAGUUUUAUAGGAGCCAUGGAGAGACAAGUCUUGUCUCAUAGGCACUCUAGUGUCUCUAGUUUUGGGCAUGUGUAUUACGAGAGUCUCCGUUGCAUUCCAUCUCGUGACCCUAUCUUUUGUUUUCUUUUGGUGUAAAAAACAGGGAAGCUUUGAGGCGAUGAACAGGUCGUGUGGUUGCUGCGGUAGCUGCAUAGAGGAUGAGAUGCAAAGGGAACAUAUGGAGACGACUUGUGACUUUGUGACGCAUGUCCUUUGCCAUACAUGUGCACUUUGCCAAGAAGGCCGUGAGAUCCGCAGGAAGGUUCUUCACCCGGGUUUCAAUGCUCAGUCCACUGUGGUUGUGCUUCCACCAAGUGAACAAACCAUGGGACGUAAGUAAGUGAAAAGCUUGCGUUGAGUCAUGUGUCCUAAAUAACAUUUGUAAUACACAAGGUGAACUAUGACGUUGUCUCUUGCUUGCUUUUGUCGCGUGUUCUUUUCUUUUUUUUGGUCUUUCUUCAGUGCAUGCAAAUGUAUGUAUAUCUUUAUUGUUACGUACUUGGUUUUGGAUAUGGUCUUGUAAUAUUCAAUAAAGUUUCGCAACUUGUAACUCUAUAAACGUGGAGGCAUUCCUUUCCGGCGGAACCUUCAUUGCUCAUAGCUCCAAACCAAAGUCUGUGAGAUCAGAUGUGGUAAAGAACGGUUCGGAGAUUCUAAUGAAAUGAAAGAUCUGUUUUUGGACCGGAGAGAUCAAGACAAAAGUGAUUGAUUGCAUUUAAUUUAUAAGACUUUUUAUAUCGCAACUUUGCGAGUCUUUAAUUGUUGCACUAGAGAUCCAUUGUAAUCAUUGUGGUUAAUUUGACUCCUUGAGUUUAUUAGUGUGCAUGUGAUAUGAUUUCUUUAGAUUUGGUUUUAAUAUACAUUUUGUGAUAAAAGGGUCAAGAUCUAUAGCUUAAUACUAUAAUUAAUGUUAAUUAGUACAUUUGACAUUUUCUUAUAGAAAUGAUUAAAUAGGUCUAUUGAUUAGACGCCAAACAAGACUGGCCAAAUUAAUCGCUGAUAAUUCAAAAGAAACCAGACGAAUUAUCAAAAGAUCUUCUAAUAAUGAAAUGAUUUGUACAAAGAGUCAAAAGGAGACACAUGGAGAAGUGCCCAACUCGUCUGGCAUGGCACCUCACUACUAAGCAAUCACGAUUUGGCUUGUGGAGUCAACGAGCUUAUGACAUUAGCUAGUUAAUUUCCCCCAAGUUGACAUCUACUUUUUAAACACAAUUUAUUUAUUACUUAUUAUACAAUUGUAGAUCUCAUCAUAUAUUUUUGAUAUGCGAUUUCUAGUAGUUUAUUGUAGACGACUGUUCUUUGUUUUCUCUUACUCUCUAAUCUGAAUCUCAUUGCAUGGUCGGCAACAUUUUUUACUUGGAACAUUUUACCAUCAAUAAUCGAAUUUUGAUAUCAUGUUAAUAAGUUCUAAAAACUUUAAUGUAUAACUUAACUUAUGUCCCUUAUACAUUACCUGUUAUUCCAUCACAUUUUGAUUUUGAAUUUGUAAGAAGUUUAUAUUUGUGUAUCAUAUAAGUUUAUGGUCUUGAAUCUAAUAGUUUUUGGUACUGUUAGUUCUAAAAUCAUUGACGAAUAUACCAAAAAAUGUGACAAGAGAUAUAUAAAAGUCCCAUCAAAUAAAUUUGGAUUGGUAGUUGUUUCGAAGUCACUCCCUAAUGUACCAAGAACAUAUCUUAAUCCAUCCCAGUUUUUGUAUCUCUUCUUAUUGACUCCAAACCAUUAACACACACACACACAUACAUACAUAUGAUAUAUGAUAUAUAUGGUUAUUAUCUUUCAUAGCAAACAUAAUCAGUUAGUUCACAUAACGACAAUCCUUCCUAAUCUCUCCUUGGUCACCGGUGAGAGGAUUGGUCUCGGACAAGAGCCUGAUAGCGCGUGAAAAUUGCUCAUGGAAGUAACCAUUGUCCGCAGCCAUCUUCGCCACAAAGGGUGCGGUCCUCGGAUCCGUGGCUAUCUCAUCAUCGAUGACAAGGAGUCCUUUAUGAGCCAUGAUGUUUUUGUAAUACAUAUUGUCCACAACCAUCGGUGUCUCAGGGUCGUUGCGGGAGUAUAAGACCUCUUUUGGGUUCGGAUUUGGAGUAGGGCAACGUUUUUUCAAGUAAAGGGCGUACGUAGGGUCGAGAGUCGGGUCAAUCGUUGGGUAUAGCCGGUGCACUAGGUUAACGCAGUGGACUCUACCCACUGAGUGUGCACCUACGGUAAUAAAAAUUGACCGAUCAAUAACAAUGACAGUUAUAUAUCUUUAUUAUCUUAACUAGUAAAUAAACUUUCCAAAAAAAAAUAUCAUAUGUAUUAUUUAAGUAUAUGGUUGAUAAAACUAUUUUAUUUUGAUUUUAUCAGAAAAUGAACCAAAAAUACCCAAAUUAUCUUCUAUUGAACCACCGGACCGUAUAAAAUUUGGUUUAAUUAACGGUGUAAAACGCACAUCUAUCCUAAAAUCUUGAACAAAUUCAAAAACCAAAAUGUCCAUCCUGGUUAGUGUUACCGUGCUGGCUCAAAUCUAUUGACCUAUGCAUUUAAAAGAUAGUUUCUACUCAGAUUUAUAACUCAGGUACCUAAGAGAGCAACGGUGGCUUCAACAUCGAUGCCGAUGGAGUUAAAGUUUGAGAGAACAGACGAGAGAGAGUCAUUGUGGUUAGGAACUAGAGCCUCAACAUCUCUCAAGUAGCUCCCUCUACUGUCUCUCCUUCCUGUCUUUAUCAUAUCUAUCUUUGGCCCUUUCAACUAUUCAUUUCACCAACCAAAAAAAAAACAUCUUAAUAAAAAUAUAAUUCCAAACUAAUUAAAUUAACCUUACAAUGCAUAUACUUACCAUGACAAUACCAUCUCUAGCAGAGAGAGCAACAAUAUCAGCGCAAGAGACUGUUCCAGGACAUUCUUUCUCGAGUGCAUCUUUGAUAGUCUUGAUAUACUUAAAGUUUCUCAUACCAAAACUCCUUGUUGACUUUUGCUCUGAUUCCACACCUCUUGCUGUCUCUAGUAGCAGUGACGCAUCACACGACUACAAAAAAAAAUACCCAUGAACAUAAAUAUUCACGAUGACUUUUUGGUAAUCAUGUUUUUAAAAAUAUUCACGAUGAUGAUGAUGCCAUGUGAUUAUAGAGUAAAUGUAAUUACCUUGACGACGCAGUCAUGGAAGAGAUUACGGAGCCAAGAUACGGCUGUGUUGCCGUGUUUGUAGUACAGCGUCUCCACUUGUUGUCUGAUUAUCUCUUCCGCUCUCGGACAACUCUCUCUGUAAUAAUUCAUCUUCAGUUCCGCAUUUCCUACAGUUUAGUUAAUCUUUAGAUUCGAUUUAAAAAAAAGUUAAUCUUUAGAUUAUUCGCUUUAUUUACGUAUGAGUGAUUACUAGCCAUUUUAUAAUAUAAUAUUUGUUGAAUUUUUACGGUGGAAAUUAGUUUACUAAAAAAAACCGUAGUUAUUUUGGUUUCAGCUAGCAAAAAUUAGAAAUAUAUUCUCGAGACAUGGAUACACGUGGCAUAAUGUGAUAAGAGAAAAGGGAAUAUAAAUUACCGAUAUGAAAGAUGGAAAAUAACUGUAAUAACAGGCAAAAGAAAGCCAAAAAGCAGAAGGGCAUCUUCACAAUGGCCAUCUUUUUCUCUCCUAUCUUUUUGUACUUUGUUGAUUGGUGUGUCUCUUUAUGUGUCCAAUGUAGGGUUAUAUAGAGAUUCAAGAGACUUGAGAAACUCUCUUUAAUCGUGUAAUAUAUAAUUAAGUAUUUUUAUUUCUUAUAGUCAUAGUGGUUGCCCAUGUUAAUUAUUCUUUUUUGAAAUUAUCAGGGGAUUUCUUAUUCUAGACGAAUAUUAAUAUUGAAGCUUGUAACCACUAGCUAUAUAUCUGAACUCAAUAGUUGUUGAACAUGUGAAUUCAGUGAGACGAGUUUUCCUAUUCUAUCCGAUGAUAAUACAAAAUUAAAUUAGUUCGGCUUUUCACUUCUUUUCACUUUUAAUUAGCCUUCCUCAUACAUGUUUCAUGUUCACAAGAUACAAAAGGAGGAGAUCUGUAAUAUAAAUUACGCUCUAACUUGUAACUAAUUGAUUGGAUUGGAUUCGAAUAAAUAAAAUCAAAAUGUAAAUGCUUGCGAUGAAUAUGUAUAUUACACAUCAACUUCAAGAUGACCGACUCAAUUAACUCCCAAUCAUGCUAAUCUAUAGGUAUUCAAUAUAUAGCAUACAAUAUUAAAUACGGUUUCACUUAUAUGAGUUCAUUCACUAAUAUAUGAGUAAAUUAUUAUUACCCGACUGCUGCAUAAAUUUUAUACCACCGAUUUAGUUUAUAGAUUCUAACAGACUUACUGACAUGUUAUAUUAUUCCAUUUGAAAUAUCGUUACCAGUCUGGAUUCUUUGGCUGACUUAAAAAAAAUAUUUUGCUUCAAUUGUGUAACAAAUGUAGAAGGAUAUUAUAGACUAGUCAUAAAUAUGUAUAUAUGCAUGGCCCAUUGUUAUACAUUUUGGGAAAAUUAUUGAAUAUAUAUUAUAUAAAAUCAUCUGAUGGUAGCCACAAUUUUUUUGUUUAAAUUAUCUGUAACAUGAUUACCGUCUAUAGCGGGUUUGCGUCAUUUCGGACAUGCGCUUGAUGCAAAAUCAAUACGACUGUGGAUGUUAAAAUGGAUAUAUUGACUUCACUAAAUGUUAAUAUCAUCAUCAGCCACUUUAUCCUUCGGCCACUUAGUCACUUGUGAUAUUUUUAACACAACACAUUGGGUGAAUUCGUAUUAUACGCAUUUAAUGUGGCACCAAGAGUUAAUUCAGACCCAUUCAUAGCUAAGCAGUUUAUAAUAGGUUGCCGCUAUUUCAACGUAUCAUUCAUCAAAAUUUGAUGUAUCUAUUUUAGUAGAAAACGAAAGAUGUUUCAUUUUAUUUGGUGUAAUAAAUCUUUAAUGCUCUUGAAUACUGCUUAAUACCGUCAGAACUCAGAACAUUAACUUUAGUUUUAAAUUAUAAUGCAAUUACUAAAACACUGCAAAUUUAUUUCAUUAUACAAUAUACAAAAAAUGAUCAUGUAUACUCUCUCUCUUUUCACAAUGAUAAAUUCCCAUUUUUGUUUUUAAAGAAUUUUAAGGUUUUAAUACAUAUUCCCUCAGUUUCGUAAAGAAUACCACUUUGACAUUUUCACACAAAUUAAAAAAAUGAUUAAAAUACAUUAAAGUUCUUAUUAGUUACACUUAAUAUGAAACAGAAAGAGUAUUUAUUAGUACUUGUUACAAAUUGCAUAUAUCAAAAUAUUUAUUAAUAAUAAAUACAUUUUUAUUUUUAUUAGUUUAAAUUUAUGUAAAAUUGUAAAAAAUUUAUAAUUGAUCACUAAACAUUAAUUAAUAUGUGUAAGAAAUGAAAAUUUAAAAAAAAUGUGAAACAGAAAGACUAUCACAUAAUUUAAUAAAUGUAAAAACUACAAGAAUUUAAGUUAAUAAUAUAUUUACGUCAAUAAUACUUAUGUUUCGGGUUGAUAUCUUAAUUCGUUUUGUAAUAAUAGCACUUUUAAAUCAAUUUGGUUAUAGAUUUUAAAAUAAAUUAUACUCAUACUUGGAAGCAAAUUAAAAAAAGGUUAUAAGAUUGCUUGGUGUAUGAAUAAUUGAAAACCAUUUUUUGUUUUUGACAACAAUUGAAAGCCAUUAAGUUUGACCUUUUUAGGCACUUGCUUAAUCGCACGCGCAUUUGAAAACCACCAAAUAAAAUCAACCCCACUUUCUUAAUAUUAUUGUGACUGAUGACGGCUGUAACAUUCUGGUCUUGACCGUCCAGUCCAUUCACUUGAACACGCACAUAAUGCUUUGUUGCCGAUUCACUUAUUUUCAUUAAAACUCAUCAUAUAAAUGAUUUCCCCUCCUUUUUCCUUUACAUCUAAAAGUCUAUGUAGUUUUUCUAGAUGCUUAUGAGUUACGCAAAACGAUCCUCUCCCACACAAAAAAACAAUAAUAUUAAUAUAUGUUUUAAUGUCCAAGUGUUUGAUUAGUGCUGCAGUUUGUAAAUAUGUAAUAAAACUAAUCAGCUUAAUUUUCUGUUUAAACAAGAAGUUUUGUAUAGAAAGACGACUUGGAUUAUAUUUUUGUAAGAAUUCUGAAUUCCUGUCGUUUCAUUCCAUAACAAUAUGUGUUAAUAUGUUCGUGUAUUAUUGACUUGUUGCUUUAUAGUUAUUUAUUUAUUCCCAAGUCAGAUUAUAUUCGUUCGGAAAAUGAACGUGACUCGUAUAUGAGUUGACCUUAUGAAUAUUGUCUAAGGCCUUAUCCAUUAGAUUAAAAGUUCAUUAUACACUUAUUAUUUGUAUUUAGUUUGAUUAUCUCCAAGGCUACAUUAUGAGCUGUUAGCUAGUAUCCUAAGUUAUGAAUAGCUCCAGAAAGGCCUUAUCCUAAGCUAUAUGAACAUUGUGAGCUAAGCUGAACACUUGCUUAGAUGUAACUUGAUCUUGUAUGUUUUCUCUAAAAGACCAAUAGCCAUCUUGUAUGCUUAGUUGAAUUUGUAUUAGGAUCUCUUAGUUGUAAGAGAUCAUAUGUUCAUCAAAUGGUUCUAUCACUACCAUAAGUUCUCUGUAAGGCCUUGUUGUUCUUCUCGCUCUGCUUUCUGCAGCCUGGUUAGUUUCCACAGGAGGCUUAUGUUCUUUGAUAGCAAAGUGAAAACCGUCCAUCUCUUCAUAGUCAUUUGGUAUAUUUGAACUUGUGAGCCAGUAGGCACAUGAGCUUCUCAGCAAGAAGAAGCAUUCUCUUUUCUUUUUUUUUCUCUACUCACCAAUAACAGAUAUUAACUUCCUUCUAUUUACAACUUAAAAUGUUAUAGUCUAUCACAUAUUUUCCCUUUAAACAAAAGAGAGAGGAAUUAUAUAUGUAUAGUUUAUCUAUCAUAUGGGUUCUUAAAAGCAUCAGGUAAAAGCAGGUGAUUUGCAGAUAGGGCAAGAGUUCUUCAAAGACAGCCAUUUCUUUAUGCACCCUCCAUGGUAGUCAUGACCACACCCUUUAAGUUCCCCCAACUCUUCUCCUUCCUUGUAUUCCUCCUAAAUGUUACCGUUACCACACCACCAUUAGACUCUUGGCACAUUUAAAUCUUUGAGACAUGCGAAUCUUACCAGGCAGAUUGCACAUUUUCUUUCCUCAUCCGUUUGAUACAAUGGGUAGAAUAUCGUCUCCAACAAGCAAGUGGAGAUUGCGCCCUUGGAUAGACCAGUGUUAACACUCCCAAUCCUUUCAACAAGAUCAAGAAGGUCCUGGAUAGUGUCAACCAUUUCAAGAUACAUCAGUUGCGAGACAUUUUGUCUGGGGCUUAGAAAAACCAAGAGUUCUGUAAUUAACCUCGUAGGUCAUGUCAUCGAUGUCGAGCCUCAAUUCUCUGUGGUGAUCAUGCAUAUUCCUGGAUCCAUAGUGCUGUUGGUGAUCUACAGCCAUAAAUCCCUGUUUUUGUACAUCCACAACAAAAUAAUAGAAGAAAGUUCAGUCUGCAGCAGAAUAAGAAACAUGAGAGUCUAUGUAGGCAAGUUUCUGAAGUGUUGGUCCCAUCAGUUUAUUGGCAAGUUUGGUAGGGAAAAAAAUUACUACACCUGAGAUGAAAAUGGUUCAUGGAGAGCAACUUCAUCGAAAGGAGGCUGAAACCUCUCAUAGGAACUCCUGCGUCUCCCUGGGCGAUCACUGCUACGCCAUGAGAUGUGUGGUGGUGGCCUCAGAUGCCUAGAAGGAUAUGUCUCAGUGACAAAAGGAGACCUAUCUCCAGAAGAAGAUGCUGAAUGUUCCAAUCGCAAACCGUUUGAAGAAGAUCUAUAGGUGGGUGUUGACCUAUGAGAGAAGCGGGAGCUAGUUGCAGAUUGUGUUGAAGUUCCAGGAAAACCGUGGGAAACUGUAGAGUUUCUGUUUCCGAUUAGCCCUUGGUGAUACCAAGAGGUAUCAACAGAUGUGCUGUUGGCGACACUUCUCGUGGGAAGAAAAUUAUUUGUCUUUGGACUAAAGCCAUUUAAAUCUGCAGGGUGAGAAUUCAUGUGGUUAAAGAACGUAGUCAGUAAAAAUUUGAAUCUCAAGAGAGACCAAAGUGAAAUUUGCAUACCUCUAGGUACUGGGGAGUGUCUAGGAAAGUUCCAGUUCCAGUCCUUAUUCCUGUGAGAUGUUUGACCAGGAAACUGACCUGAGCUAGAGUGAUCAACAUUGUGAUGUGUAGGAUGAGAAUCAAGGUCCAAGCUUCUUGAAAAAAUAUUUCUAUCUACACUAGUCUCUAAAUCAAGUGUAGGACGACUCCGGACAUUCCUUGAAGAACUCUCUCCCCUGAUCGAGAGAUUAUUACUUCUGUAACUUGGGUUCAUGAGCCACGGCAUGUAAUGAGGACCAUGAUCACGAGUUGUUGAUUUUCCCAUGUCCAACUCCGAGGAGAAAGGGAUAUCUGAGGAAGUUCUGCCACCGUGGUAAUGGCUUGAACUACCCAUUUCAUAGACGGAAGAAUCGCAUGGGGUUUUCCGCUUCUGUGCUCCUCUCACAUUUUCCAUAUGUAGAUCAACAUAGCCAUCCAAUGACCAUGUCUGACUGUUGCAGUACGAAGAAGAUGCAGAUGUCACAUAAUGUUCAAGUGGAGCAGAGAAAGUUGCAGCUGCUGAACUCAUGACAGGAACAUGGGUGGGGCCGCUAGUCCCUGGAUUGUAGUGUAGCCUCUCUACACCAUGACCUGAAGCAGUAUACGCAUUUGGUCCUGUAGAAGAGUUCCAGUGCGAAGAAAAUGGCAUUCCUUCAUUCAACACGUUUCCUGCUGGAUUAACAUGCGAUCUGCUCUCACUGGUCCCAGUUCUUGCUGAGAUAACAUAGAGCGAACAAUAAUACGAAUCAGAAAUUCCGGACACGAUUGCACAGGAAAAAGUAGAAUUAUGUAUGUGAUGAUUAUAAAAUGUGGCUUCCUAAUUUUCACUACCUGAGGGUAUCACCUAUCAAGAUUCAUUUUUGCCCCUACUGAAACCCAAUCUACCCAUGAGGGAGAAACUUCUCAACCUAAAAAUACGCAUGCAACAUCAACGCAAUAGCUCUUACACAGGUUGAGUAUAACAUCUAUCCAUGAAGAACGUGUUAAAAAUAUUGAUUUCAACCACAGAAUAAGGAUCUCUAUAGGAAUGGAGAACUAAUUACCUAAACUCGUAUAUGGGUGCUCUGGGUGUAUAUGGUUCCAGCCUUGAUCCUGUUCAUCAUCGAAAAAUUGGAAAGAGCCAGGAAAAUGUCUGUGCCCCAUGAUUACACAAAUCUUCAACCUUGGAGUCCAGCUAACCCUGCACAGAAAGUUCUCUCAACAUUCAGAACUCAUCCAGAAAAAAAUUUGCAAGUCCAUAAAAAUAGUUCUUAAUUACUAAGCAAUCUCAGUUUCAAUUCAAGAAUGGUAUAUAAAGUAACAUCUGCUUUAGCUCAGAAGUACCAAAUGGUUGCUGAAAACGAGUCACCCAUCUAUUUUCAGUUUUAUAGUCACAUUUCAAGACCAAAACUCCAAUUUUUGCAACUGAAGAACCUUAACCAUCGCCAAGUUAAGAAACAAAGUUUCUUCAACCCCACACAUGAGCAUACUCAAGCUGUAAGAAACGAUUUAGAAUAUGCAUAGAGAACACUACACAGUAUUAGGACGGACAUCAACUUCAGGUAUAAAGGAAACUGACAAUGGUAUAUUGAUAGAGAUUCUUUAUCAGAAGAGAGUCCAUAGUUUCAAUACCUAGUAUCAAUAUAGUUGAAAUAUCUAGUCUCAGUUACCUUUGUCACCCGUAUCUAACAUACUAUACCCUCAGAGCUCAGCUCAUGAUAUCAUAAAAACAAGUUUUCGAAGAGUUGGACUGGAAAGUUCCUGAUGCCUUAAGAUGGGAAUAACCUUAACUAGUACAUAUCUAUCAGCUCAUAAGGGUAUCUUGCAAUCAAGAGUUAAUAAAUAAAACAGAAACCUACAUUUUCUCUUUGUGUAAGCCAAAAGAAAAUAAGAGACACAAAACAAGCAAGAGUGUUCUCUAGUACAUUGGCAUAAGAAGUUCAUUUAAACAAGACAUUUACUCAGGUUUAAGAACUUCAUAAAUUUUACAGAAACAGUCCACCGAGAAUAAGGCAAGAAAGAACAGAUACAGAACAGAUAACAUUUGAUAUGACCAUUUCAGCUUCUAUCAACACAUACAGAACAGAUGCAUACUGCUGGCAUGAUCAAGAAAAUUACAUGGAUGAUUCAACAGCAGGAAAUAAGUUUAAUUUUCUGAGCCAAAACCCUCCAACAAUACUACUGCAGGCAAAUUAAACUCCCAACCAAGAAUACACUAAACUACACAAGUGAAAAAGCCAUCAUCCUUUCCUGAUCAACUGAUUCACCAUUUCCACACACCAAAUGUAAUUUCUUCUCUUCAAGUUCAGAAUCAUAACGGGCUUAGUCCACAGAGUGCUGGCCAGCAAAGGCUUACCACCACAUUCUACUAUUCUGAAGCUUUUACUUAGUCAAAACCUGCCAUCCGGCCCAGCACACCUAGAUCUACUCCAAGAGCUAGUAAGCAGAAAUGGGUUGUGUGAAAGGAUGCUUCUAAGCAAUUUGCUUUAUGCUUCAUAGGAUGGUUGUCAUUUCGCAAGAAAUAUUGAAGUUUUUACCUUAAUUCACACUUCAAGCAUCACUGACUAAUUAACACAUUCAGUUAUGAACGUGGAAUCAAAAGAAGGGUGGUGGAAGAACUGGACCAGACAAACUUCACAAAGCCUUGACUACCAUAAACAUAGUUAUCAGCCAUAAAACGUAAAUGAGUAAAAAACUAACCACGCUAAUAGAGUUUGGUUGACUUAUCUUACUUCAAGUUCACGUUGGUUUCUCAAUCAACCAACAAUCUGCCAAAAUAGAAGGAAAACGGCAGCCACCGAUUCUAUGUAUUACAAAGGCUUAGCAUAAGGCACUAACAUCUGCUGACAAAAGUGUUAGAAUAAUACAUUUUCUCUGCUACAAUUUCAAAUUUUCUAUUAUAUUUUUGAGAAAAAAACCAAAAUAGCACUAAAUCAAGUUUUUGUUCCCAAACUAGCACUCAAGGCCAAAAGUCACAAAAAUAGCACUCAAGAGAUGGGGUUUAGGGUUUAGGGUUUAAAGUUUAAGUUUUAGGGUUUAGAGUUGAGAAGUGAGAUUUUGGAGAUAAGAUUUCAAAUUUUGAAAAAUAAAAAAGUUUAAAUUUUUCAAAAGAUAAAAUGCUAUUUUGGUCAUUUAGUUUUUGAGUGCUAUUUUUGUGAUAUAAACUUAGAAAAGUACUAUUUUGGAGAUUUGCCUUAUAUUUUUUCGAUUUUUUUUUUUUUGAUUAUACAAAGUUUCCCUAAAGGCUUCCUAAGGGACUAAUCUGUGUAGCUGCAACCCGAAUGUGAAAUCCGCAGUGGCCGGGAAUCGAACCCAGGUGGCGGUACUCACAGCUGUGAGCCUCUGUGAGCUAAACGCCCCGGUUUAUUUUUUCGAUAUUACUAAAGAGGAAGACGUAUUUGCUGACCUUAAACUAUAUGGACGUUACUAGUUCAAGACUGAGAGAAACCAUCGUUGCCACUAAACCUGCUGGAUACAAAGCCUAGCUAGUUUGAUGCUAAAUAGGAAACUGCUCAAACUAGCUCUAUAUAGCUUAGCCCCGUCGCUGAAGUAGCCUGAACUAAUCACCGAUCUGGUCUCCUCUUCUUCUCAGCAUCCGAAUCUCUAACUACGAUUCAAACAAUCCAAUCACGAAAAGUCACUCAUGUAGCAGACGGAAGCAAACAAUCAUCACGCAAAAGGAAAACAGAUGAUCCGUCGUAACAGCGUUUAAACAAAUCAUUGGUGAAACUGCAAUCGAUUUGAGCAUAUAUAUACAUAUUUACACGAAAACCUCAGAGCUCAAACGAUGAUCGGAGAAGAGAGAAACGUACCGCUAGCAGCGUGCGGAUGAUGGAGAAAGGAGAACGAUCGGAGGAUUCAAAGAGACGACGAACGGAUUCGUAGAGAUGACUCAGCUUGAGGAUUGUGAUCGGUUGAUAUAUUUAAGAGAGAAAGCAAAUGAAAAAAUGAUAAAACAAAACAAUUUAAUUUAAAAGCGAUUGGGUGGGUACGUUGCUGGAAAAUUUAGACCACCACAGCAUCACCGGCUGAUUAAUGGGCGUAGAUUAAUGGGCCUAUAUUUUGACUUUAUAUGGGCCUCCACUGGAUCAGCAACUAUCCCUUCUUCUUUUUUUGUCACCAGCAACUAUAGCAUUGUUCACAUAGUGCAUUAUGUUGCAUCUGACAGAUUAUGAGCAUAUAAUCCUUGAAUCUGCUUUGUAGAAAGCUCUUAGAAAUUUAAUUUUUCCAUUGUCUUUGCACGUGCUGUGAAAUUUUGUGUUAAUUACGCAUAAAGUUUGAUUCGUUAGAUUUAGUCCAAAGUAAACAAUAUGGAUACAUAGUCCACAAUCCCCCUAAAAUGGUUAUUUCUCAGAUUUUGACAGUCUUAAUUUGAAGACAAUUUGGAAGAUGAAGUUGCAGUGAAACACGCAAGCAUUGCAUUGCUUUUUUCUCUUUCUAAAACCAAUGGAAGUACAAGGAAGUGGAGGUGAAUCAAUAACAAUAAACCGUGUGCAUUGCCGAGAUUAUAUAGUUUGUGAUUAUACCAUUUUAAUACAGAGAAGCUGCAAAUACCAAAUUAAACCAACGCAGGUUUGAGGUUCCUACGUCAAGUUCAACCAUUUCAUUUCUAGUGUAAUUUCUCUAUUCAAAACAACUAUAGAAAGGUCCACUAGACAUGGCAGACGAAACAAUACCCCAAUAACAUUGUGGCAUUACGAAAGUAGCAAAGCAAAGCAUAAGAUAAAAUAAAAGCGGCAUUAUAACAAACCAAAACAGACUUGUUCUUGUUCUUAACCGAAACAUAAAAGCUAAAACCUCAAAAGUGAAAAUAACCGAACAAAACACUUAAUCUCAAAUUCCCUUUUUUUUUUAAAUUAAUUAAUUCUCAGGAAUCUCAACCUCACCCUCUUGAAUCUCCUGCUGGAUAUCCUUGGAAUCUCCUGCUGAAUAUCCUUGGGAUCUUUCCCAUCCACAGUACACCCAACAGACACACACGUCCCAAGAAUCUCCCUCACGGUCCCGCUCAGCUCCUUCGCAAUAGACCUCGGCCUCAUGAUCCUCGCGAUCUCAAUCACGUCAUCGAACGAAAUGUUCCCGUUGUGCUUAAUGUUCUUCACCUUCUUCCUGUCCCUCUCCGGCUCCUUCAAGGCCUUGAUCACCAGCGCCGCCGCCGAAGGCACCACCGUCACUUUCGCCUGGCGAUUCUGCACCGUCAGCUUCACCGUGACGCGGAGCCCCUUCCACUCCUUGGCCGUCUCCUUGGCGAUGUCUUCUCCGAUCUUUUUGGGAGCCAGACCGAGGGGACCGAUCUUGGGAGCGAGGGAACUCGCGGCUCCGACUUCUCCGCCGGUCACGCGGACGUAGACGUCCACGAUCUGGCUCGGGUCAAGCUUCGGCGGCAUGGCUGUCUCGGUGGUUAAACGGAGUUUGAUUAGUUUUUUUUUUAAGUGGAGUCCGGAGACGAGGAGGCGGUUGAAGACGAGCUCCAAAGGCUUUUAUUGAGGUCGACACUAGGGUUUACGAAAUGAUGAAUUUACUACCCUUGUAAACAUAUAUGGGCCUUAAGAGAAUGAUCUUAUGGGCUUUAUUUUAGACUAUCGGUUCUUUUACGGUUUAGUAAAUAAUAAAUCCCCGGUUUGAUAGAACCGGUUUACUUCCGUCGCCUCUUUGCUCGGUGAGAAUUGCCUAAAAUAUUUCCUCAGUUUCGGAAAGAAGUAUAUUUUAGUUACCAAUAUAAUUUUAAUAAAUAAAAUUAUGUUUUUUUACUGUUUACGAUUAAUUUAUGCAUUGAAACCGUAAAAAUGUAUUUUUCUUGAAACGGAAUUUUUUUCUAAAAUAUGGAAUUUUUUGAAACGCAUGGCUUUUAUUAUACUAAAAUAGUGAAAGUGACGUCACUUCGUUUAACCGAUAUGAUCAACAACAGAAGCAUAUAGUUUUGACAAUAUACUGGGAAACAUUUACUUUUUGGAACUUUCUGUUAUCUUAUGUGUGUUAUUUAAUUAGUGGGUGGCUAAGGACCAGAAGUUGAGAAAGAAGGAAGGGAACACAGCAAGCCAGCUGAUGAAUGCCAUUGCUGUGGCGGUCUGGAACCUUGUGCAGUGGCUGCCAUCACAUUUAUCAAGAUCGUUGAUGAGUACGGUUAUGCCAGCAGACGCAGAUGCAGCUGCAAACGUAAGUAGGCAUGUGAUCUGCAAGGGAUGAAAAUAGACAAAACAGUCACUUUGUUGCCUUCUUAGAAACUAACUUUAAACAAUAAAGAGAGAUGUUGAUUUCGUUCUUACUCCAUCUCCAACUGUGAAACAUCGAACAACCAAGUGAUUCCGAAGGCUUCUUCCCACCAGAAGAGCAUAAGCAUCGAUGAUAAAAAGAGACAAGCUCCACAGGCUUUGCAAGCUAACCGCAAAAACCAAACCACUGUCACAGUUUAUAGAUAUGUUUUGUCAGAUUCAUAUUUUUCCGUAAACCUUAGGUCUAAGAGUUGGAUUUUACUAGAAUGCGGUGAAGGAGUGGAAGUCGGGGGUGGUGAGCAUGACGGAGAGGGAGAUGAGAGAGGAGACGAACUGAGAGAGGCGGAGGAUGAGGCCGCCGGUGGUUCCUGGCAUGCCCUGAAUAUCUUUCAUCCUCACUGGCGGUCUAUCGUUGGCUCCGCCAGUAGGACCCACGGGGACAGCAAUUACCGGACGAACCGCCGGUCGGCUCACGUUCAUCAUGUGAAAGUGAGUCACUCUGAUAACACACACACAAAUGAGGAACUAACUCGACUGAGUUUGCUAAACUAAUUUCCUAAAGACAAAGACUUAUUCAACUAACUGAAUCUCUAACACAUGUAGGACUUUCGAACGUUUACCGCAAAAGUUCAAACAGACCCACCUUGUAAGACACGAAACUGCUACUUUGGCUGUCUGAAAAAUGGAAUUAGUGUGGAUUUUUUUUUUGGUCCACGAGUUAAUUAGUUAAUGUGAUGUGUUUUGACAGAAUCGACCCAAAACAUAGUAUUUAAUGUUCCUAACUUUUGAUAUCUAUUGACUUAGAGUAACCGACUUUGAAAGUUAGUAUAAAACAACUGUAGAAACUUUUAAUGUGGCUUACUAGAUUUUUGGUGCUAUUCUAAAGUAUUUAUGUUUUUAUAUUAUUUAUUUCAAAUAUGUUAGACAUAAUAUUAUAACUUAUUAGUACUAUUUUCGACAGUUUAUGUUAUUACUUUUGAAACAGAUUAUAUUUAAAUUAGUAGUAUAUAUUAAGCUAGAAAAACACUCGAAAUUUAUUUGAACACUUAAAAUAAAACUAUAUUUUUUGUUUCUUAUUCUUUUCCUGUGUUUAUUUGUGUUGUAGUAUUGAUAAUUGACUAAAUAAAUACAAACAAGAAAAUGUGAAACUUUUGUUGGUUACAGAACAGAGUUGAUGAUCUUACAGAGAAUUAAAGACAUUUAGUUUGGGGUUAAAAAGACAGUUCUAAUCAUUUACAACAAAGAACUUCCACCGAACUGGAAAUUGUUUUUACUUUACCCCAACUAAUCGGGAUCUAUUCCUUCCAUUUUUAGUAAGAUUAAUAAAAUCGUGAAAAUCUGACAUUUUCAUAUCUAUAUAUAAAAUCUUUAAAUAGUUAUCUAGAUAUAUUUAAAGUUAUCUAGAUUUUUUUUUUUUGAAAAAGUUAUCUAGAUAUAUUAGAUCUUGAUAAUAAUCAUUCUCCAGCCCUUUCCAUCUCCCAGCAGAGCUUAGACGCAACACUUUCAUGGGAAGGUGCAUAUUCCUGCAAAAUGACAACAACAACGUUUGAGAUUAUGUAGAGACCCAGAAACAAUUCAUUUUCUUCAAUUUACCUCAAGCUUCUUCACAAGCUCUUUAGCAGUAGGUUCAGAGACUAUGAUCUCACGAGCAGUCGGGCUGAUGAAUCCUUCUUCAACGGCUUUAUCGAUGAAUGAAAGCAGCGAGUUGUAGUAUCCAUCAACGUUGAGUAAACCCACCUGCAGAAAGUUUGUUUUAGUGAUUUUGGAUUCUUGAAUUUUUCCAUUUGAAGUAAGAAUAUUAGGGAGGUUUUUUUUUACAGGCUUGUCAUGAAUUCCAAGCUGAGCCCAAGUUAUGACCUCAAGCAAUUCUUCAAGUGUUCCAUAGCCUCCUACAAUUAUCGCACAAAAUUUUAGAUUUGAUUUGUCAAAAGAGAGCAGGUUAAUCUGUUACUAUGAUAUGGUCAAAUCAGUAGGUGUGUCAUGUACAAUACAAAACCAAAUAAUAGAGUCCUCUCCUCUCUGUUACUGUUUUGUACAUUGGUACUGACUAUGAUUACAAAAGCAGGAUCUUGACUUUCCAUUAAUGAUUUCAGAUUAAGUGUGGGCCAAAAAAUGCCAUUUGUGGGACUGUUUCAAGUUUUGUCUCUUAACUUGAAAAGGGCAAAGAAAAAAAGUUUGGUCAGAGUAAGACUACACAAGCUAUAGAGAGAGUACCCCCUAAGUUAAAAACAAAGCAGAGCAAUAACCAGAGUAAAAGAAAAGGAAAAAGGUAUAAUUCUAAGUGCCAGAUGUUGAUGGUUAAGGCCUUUUAUCUUACACUCUGGUGACUUUAAAUAUUUAGAUUUUUUUCAUUUCAAAGAAUAAUUAAAAAUAAAAAACUUUUCACAGCAGCUUUCACACUGCAGCUUGACCAAAACAUAAUGUUUUUUUUUGUGUAACUAAGAAAUCAUGUUUUUACCAAACUCUUUUCUUCUCUUUUUUUACAAAAUCAGUCCAGAAAAACAAACUUUUUCCUUUACAUGAACAAACCCUACUUUGAAACUUUGAUUACCCAUUCAAAUUGUUUUAAGAGGCUAUUCUUAAAAUUCUUUGCGUCACUAGGGUUUUGACAAGUUUUCGUAUGUUAUCAUUACUUACAUUGAAAGAACAGCAAAAUUUUGAGGUUUAGAAAUGUUUUUUGAGAAAGAAAACAUUUGAUUGAAAAUUUGGGUGGAUUGGGUUUAAAACAAAACCUGGUAAGGCAAUAAAAGCAUCAGAGUGCUUGGCCAUUUCAGCUUUCCUUUGGUGCAUAUCUGCAACUGCUCUUACUUCUCCUACUGUUUCACCAGUCAACUGCAAAAAACAAUGAUCAUCCACCAUUUUAAAAUAAAUAAAAGGAUGUUAAUUAAAAGUAGUUAAAGGGCAAAAGCAACUUUGGGCUCUUCUACAGGCAAACGCAAUGAUGUCACCGCAAGUAGUCGUAAUGUUUGGAUGUUUUUGAAAUCUCCUACAGAACCCUAACAUCUAGUUAACCUCUUUCUAAUCAUUUUCUUCAUAUAUCUUUUAUUCAGAUUACGGUAACCAAAUGAGGAUAUUUAUAUUUUAGGACACCUAAACUACUCGCAAUCAUGAGAUUUAAGAAAAGGUAACAAACAGGGAGAAGAGUAAAACCUAAGCAAACACCGAAGAUUAAAAUGGUUUUGAAUGGGAAUUUGGAGAACUUAAAAGAGAAAUUAAAUUAACAAAGAACAAUGUUUUAUUUUGAAAUUUUCUUCUUUGAAAAGUUCAUACCUCUCUAGGCAUGAGGGUCUUUGGAAUUAUUCUGCAGAGUGACAACAAAAGGACAAAGUUGGGUUUUAUUAGAAAUAUUCAGCAAUAUAAUCCAACACUUGUGUUCCAUCAGAAUCUCAAAAGACAGUUUUCUUUUGUAUGAUCUGAAGCUUACAAAGUUGUCAAAUAGUUUAAAGUUAUUUGACUAAGAAAAAGUUACCCAAUAACAUGACGACCACCAUUAUGAACAGCUUGUGAAACCAAACCCAUCAAGCCUAUGCUCCCACCUCCAUAGACUAGAUCAAUUUUCCUUGAGACCUGCAGAACAAAAAAAAAAACAGAGUUACACUUUUUUUUUUUUUUUUGUCACAAAAACAGAGUUACACAUUAGCCUAAACUUGAUGAUAAGUAGAGCAAAAAUCGUGUAACAAACCAGAACCAGAAUAUUCUGAAGUUAUACCAUCUGGCACGUUUCAAAGAAGAAAUAAAUGAAGCAAAGAUGCACAUCAUCUUAUCUCAAAACCAACCAGCAUAAUCAAAGACAUAAAUACGUUAAAAGUCAUGUAUGUGUUACCAGUUCGUUGCCGAGAUCUACAGCAGCAUCUUGGUAACUACUCUUCUUGCCUUGGCUGCUUCCACAGAAGACACAUAUUCUUUUGAACUUUGACUUUUGCAUCGUUUCAGCUUUGAUCUCCAUUGAAUAUGAUCCUAAACUUAUGAUAAAAUAUAAAACUUCUCCAGAAAGAGAAAAGGUAAACAAUUUUAAGGUUUCUUUCAGCACAAGAAUCUAAUUUCGCAAGACAGUUAUGAGUGACAAAGAAACCUAACUAAAUCUGAAAAAAUAAUUUAUUUUGGGAGUUGUUUUUAUCCUCACCACUAAUGUUUCCUGGCUCAAGGGUUGUUGUUAUAUAUAUAGUGCGUCAUCGAUUUAAGCUUACUUAUUUUAAAUUACAUUCUUUUUGAUGUUUACUAAAGCUAGCAGCCUAGCACAACAUUUAAUAAUACAAAUUUAGAAAAAAAAAUAGAAGGCUUUCGUUAAAAAGUUUAUUUUUUUGUUUGUUUGAAUACUUCAUUUCUGUUUUAUUCCCCAUAAAAAAAAUAUUUUUGACCAAAAUCUUAUAAAUCGUUGAUUUGAAUAUUUAAUAAAAAUCGAUAUUUUUUAGAUUUAUGUUGAGGUCUUUACACGGGAGAAAUUAAAGCACGCGUCUUUCACUACCCGCGCGGCACGCGUGACCGAAUUCUUCUUUGUGUUAAUUUUCCCUUACUAUAAAAUCACGUACAACAAUGAUAGACUAGUACCAUAAACCUUAUUUAUGGUCGUAAAUAACAAUUUUUUUUGUUACUUGAGAGGAAUUUGGAUCAAACCGUAAUCUCCGCUUAAACCUGAAACCAUGUGUCCAUGCAUUGAUAAUAGUUUAUGACAUGGCGUAGAACAUUUCUUUCCAUAUAAAUGACAAUUCUUCGUAAUGGACUUUAUGGUUAGACUCACAAUCACCCAACUAGAUAGAAAUGCCAUGUUAAUGCAGGCUAUAUCUCACAAGGAAUUAUUAUCAGUUGUGUUCUUUGUUGUUAAAGAUCAUAUAUAUCGUGUUUAGACUUCAUAACCCCCUCUUAUGAUUUCGUAAAGAAAGCUCUCAGUGAUUAAAAAAAAACUGAUUCAGUAAAGCUUCGUCAUUUUUCGUUCUUAAUCAAGAAUAGGAAAAAUAAUUAAUUUUCUAUAUAAAAAUAAGAAAAAUGGACAGCAUAUGUGGACAGUGUAAGAUGGGUACAAACGUUAUUAACUGAUACUCUUGAAAAACAAAUAGAGAAAGGGAAAAUAAAUAACCAAAAAUAACCAAGACAAAGGCCACACUAAUAUUCUAAUGGAACCAUGUAGAUGUCAUGGAUAAACCAAUGAGAUAUAUACACACUCACUUAUCUAAAGAGAUAUAUAGAAUGAAUAAGUUAAUGAGAUGAUGAUGUCUGGGAUAUGGAGCAAUGUGCCAUUGAUGAUUGACAUAAGAAAACAAAGUGAUGGCUUAUGUUACCAGUGUAGCCUAAUUCACCCUCCCUAUGUAGACAACCUUCUUCUUGUUCUUUGCAUAGAAAACGUUUCUUCUAUUUUUAUUCCCCUAUAUUCAUUUUCACCAUCCUAAGCUAUAGUAUGGAGUUGUGAUAUAAAAUUCUUUUAAUUUUUUUAGACUAUUAUUUUUGUCUUUCUCUUUCAGAAUAAAGUAAUCAUUAAAUCAUCGUUGAAUUAUUUAAAGUUAUGAAUUCAGAAACAUAUGCAAAUUAUCGCCUUGUGAAAGAAUGAAAAAUAAAAUUUCUUGUUACACUUCCCAUUUCAGGAGAACCUUUUAUAUAAUCUUGAUUUAUUGAAAAAUCAAAAAUUUAAAACCGAAAGCUGAGAGCUAAAACUAAUAAGAAAAAAAAAACACUAGUUUCGUUAAGACUCUAUCGUAACCCUAUUGACAUGUUGGCUUGGAAUACCAGGAACCUCCCCAACACUCUUAUACUUAACUGUAAGCAAACACUUACAAUAUACUUCAGAUCAUAUAUAUUUGUUUAUAACAUGUGUAUAUAGCGUAUGAGUAUUUAAAUAAGAAAAUAAAAUAAUUACAAUCCCAAGAUCUGAGUAGAUGCAACCCAUUCCUUCUAUAAACAAAUAAGUAAGUUUGUAAAAUAGUUUGUAUUAGUAUAUCUGCAUGCUUGCAUGCGCAUUUUUCUCUUGUUUUUCUUUUUCAUCUCUAGUUUCACUUCACAUUCUUCUUGGGUUUUUCACUUCCGACCCAAUUUUUAUUUUAUUAUAAUAACCAUGACGAUGGUAGUGAUACCACAAUUUAAUCAGAUAAUACUUUCAUGCAGUCCAAUUUGAAAGUGUUAAAUAUUUGAAAAUGAGCACAAGAGGUUUUAUAACUCGAAUCUUUUUAUAGUCUGUACAGAAAAAAAAAACAAAAAGACAAUUUUAAAGGUGGACGUUUGAAGAACAAAUUAUCCUUUUUACAAAAGGUUAAUAUCUGUCUCCAAUCGAUUUUGACAUGAUUUCAAAGACAUAUAGUGACAUAGCAUUAACGAACAUCUAACGGAAUCCUAAAUCACUUUAACUAAAAGAAGUUCAUAAAGAAAGAAAAAGUAUUAAGUUAGUCAUACAACUAGUUCAUUCUGUUCAUAAAGGGGUUCUAAGUAUUUAUAAAUAUCAAUUUUUCUUGGAGUGGUUCUCAACCUUUUCAAACAGGUCAACAUUUUUUACUUCCUUUUAUAAAAGGUUUUUGUUAAAUUAAGAAAAGUUCUUUCGAAAGAUGAAACUUGAAUCCUUUAUAUAUUUACUUAUCAGUUAAAGAAGUUCAUUCAUAUUAGACCCAAUACAAUUUUGUUCAUAAAGGGGUUCUAAUUAAGUAUUUAUAAUUAUCAAUUUCUAUGCAGACAUAGGAAAGGCUCCGCGCUUUCUAAUAAAUAUAUAUAUGGGUUAUUAUAUAUCCAUGCCUGACAAAAAGAAAAUGCUUAAUUUGAUUUAAUUUAAGAUUAAGGAGAUGAAGAUGAAAAAAUUAUUAACCCAUAUUAUUUUUUCAUUUAAGCUCUGGCUGUAAAAAAGCUGAACAACUUUUACCAUAUUAUUUUUUUCCGAAGUAUAUUAAAAAGAAGACAAUAUAUUUAUUCACUGUUUUAGGUUUUGUUCCAAGCUAUCACCACUAUUUUGUCAGUAGUACCAUAGAUUCAUGAUUAAAAAUGACUCAAAACCUUUCUUAAUAAAUAAAUUUUAAACCUUAAAUGAAAAACUUAAGCCAAACAUAGUAUCUCAAUAUUGUCUAUAAUUUCUUAAAAUAAAGGAUAAUAUCCUCACACAGUUUUUUGUAGUAGUGUUAAAAAGAACAGUAAUAGUAUAUUCGGAAUAAAAACCUUUUAAAUAUAGCAUCUACGGUAUUUUUUUAGCUUUUAUGAACUAUUUUAAUGAUUUAUUCUUGUUUUUGUUGUUGGUAAACAAAUAUUUUGAGAUGAUUUGUGUAUUGGAUGCAAACGGCAUAUUUAAAUUAAGGAAAUGCUAAUUGGGAGGCAGGAUAAAAUUCUUAUUAAUGUCCAUCGAAUUUUUUUUAUUAAAAAUGUUUGAAUAUGUAAUGUGCAUUGGAGUUAACUAUGACAUAUUCUUAUUACGGGUUGGUUUUGUCGUUGAAACAAACAAGAACGUUAUAUUAAGUUCAAAAAACAAACAAGAUGUUAUGGAGUCACACAACACUAUUUCGUACAGAAAUGAUACCUCUAGUUUUUAAAUGUAAUUUUUUUCCUACAAUUUUGACAUCUUUUAAAAGGAUAGUCCACGUAUGAGACUAUGUUAUGAUUGCAUGGGUAAAUACUUUAAUGUACAAGACGUGAAACUUAAUGCAAAACUAUCAAUAAAGGUCGAUAUGAUUCUUUAAACCAAAAAAAGUUCGAUAUGAUUCCGACAAUAUUUUAGAUUUAUGACUUUGAAACCCAAAAGGAACAGACAUUUACCACUUUGAACCGAAAAUAGAACCCCCAAACUUGUUUUUUUCCUCAACGGACCAACGUUAAAUCCACAAAUUAAGGAAUUGAAGAAAAGAGGAGACAAAAAAACAAGAAAGGAAAAGGGAAGAACAUGGAUUUGUAAAUGGUGAAAAGAGGGACAGUCAAAGGUCAGAGAGGGACAAAUCAUUUGUUUAGUAGUUAUCAUAAAGUGUCGGACAGUUAAUACCGUUACUUACGAGUCAAAUGUCUCUAUUACGUUUUCACUUAUCACUAGUUAGUGGUAACUUACUUAAAUUACUUUUUCAAAAAAAAAAAAACUUACUUAAAUUACCCUCCCAUCAAUCGAUUUAUAUUUUCAAAAUUUCUGUAUUGUGAAAAAGCCAUGCAUUGUUGACGCAAUUUUUUGUUGUUGUUACUUGUCAACUAUUGAUACGUACUACUAACCAUGUUAUGUAUACAAUGCAUCUUUACAUAAACCUCUUUCAGUAGACUAAAUUCACAUUCAAAUCUUUUGAGUUAAACAUGUUUAAAUUGGAAAAUAUUGAGAAAUAAUAACAAUAAAUAUUUAUUGCCCUUUUCAAAAAUAAAAAUAAAGAUUUAUGGUUUUUAGUAAUUACUUGAACUAAAUUUGUUAAAACUUACAUAUACUUACUACUUAGGCAGAUAAAUGACAACUUUUAAAACAGUUAAAGGACAACUUUACGUAUACAGCAUGUAUGUAAGGAGUUUAUGAAGACAAAAGGAGGAAAGAAUCUAACUUAUAGCAAGAAGAGUGGUGAACGUAAGAUGGAGAGAGUGAACAGUCAAAAUACAUUCAUUCAUUCCUUUGUUUUUUUUUCUCUUUUAGAAAUUAAAAUUUAUGUCGUUUGUUUUUGGGACAUUACCUACGUUCAUUUCAACUCUUUCAACCUUUCGGUCAUCUCUAUACGAAUAUACCCCCAUUUGUUUUACAUUUUUAUUUUCUUUUAAAAUUUAUGAAGUUACAUUGGCGCCUACAAUUCAAAAGAUUUAGUUUGACUGGUUUACACCAUGUGAAUCCCAUAGGAUAAAUUAUAAAUAAUUCAUAUGGUUUCUGACGUAUGCGUUAUACAUACCUAUAUUGCAUGUUAAAUAAUGCCCUUUUCUGAGAUGGUGAAUAGAUAGAUAUGUCGAAUUUUUAGUAUAUGAAGUUGAAAUUAUAAGAAAUAUCCUAAAAGUAUUUGCAUCGACAUUCAUUUGCUAAGGAAAAAGGUUAAAAAUGUCUUCAAAAAAGGGUAAUGGACGUUUAAUAUAGGAUUAAGUAGCAAAGGAGCAAACAUGGAACAUGUUCAUCUCCUAUGAAUGAGGUGAAUAAGUCAAAAAAAGAAGAAGAAUAAGUCAAAGUAGGUCUAGUUGCUGGACCGGUUCUAAGGACAACCGGAUAAAAAUCCAUCUUAAUCCCAAUUUUUUUUAAAACUAAGAACUAUUAUACGUAGACCACAUGGUCCAUAUACUAUCCAUAACUUUUUAGUAAGAUAAACCUGAUAAUGUUUGCCAAAGCUCCUUUAGAUUAAUGUUUGACAAAGUGGUCACUAAUGGUUAUACAUCAUGAAGUCUAAGUUCUGAAUCUUAUAGAAGGCAAAAUUGUGCUGGAGAUUUUUUUUAUAAAAGAUGGAGCAAAAAAUACCAUAAAACGUAGAUCUUAUAAGUCGGUUCAAAGUGAUGCAGUAAAAUGUAAAUUCUUAUAAAAAAUAGAAUCAUCAAUUAUAUAAUCGUUAUAAUAUUUUCAUGGUUUGCAAUAGCAUAGCUAUUCAACGUUAAGAAAAACCAAAUAAUGUUUUUUGGCCAUAAAUUUUCGAUCCGGCUUUGUUGCGCUGUCCACGUACAAAACUAUGGCAUAUAUAAUUCACGAGGUUUGAAAUAGUGUUCCUUUUAUUUGUUUAGUUAGUUCUCAAUAUUUUUCUUUCAAAUGAAUGACAAGAGAAAUCGUAUGAGACGAAUAUGAGAGAUAGGUUAAGAAUCAGGAUGUUUUCGUUCACAGUAUAUAUAAGAAAUUAUUAUAAGAGAUUGUAGCUUAUGGAACAACAUUAAGGGUAUGACUGGUUUCCUCGCUGCCACACGCAUGCGGUUGGUAGCGGUUAUUGGCGUUUUGCAACAAUCACUCAAACCGCUCUAAAUCGUUUCAAACCUCAUAAACUCAAAACUGGCUUCAGCUAGCGUUUGCGGUUACGGGAGGAUAAUUUUUUUCAAAACAAUAUAAACAUAAAAAUAAAAAAUUCAAUAAAAAUUUUAAAUUGGAAUUAUAAAAAUACUAAAAUAUAUCUAUUUUAUAUUUUAAUUAAUAUUAUAAAAUUUAACUUUUAAAAUAUAAUUUUUAUAUUUAUUAUAAUAUUAUAAUUUUUUAUAUUUUUAUAAUUAUAUAAAAUAUAAAUAUUGUUAAUUUAUUAUUUAACUGUUGUUGCAUCUGAUAGUUAAUCAGUCAUAAGUAUCCUGCAAAUGCACCAAUUUCUAACUAUAGAACCAGUCGUACAAAUCUCUUAAAACCGCUAGAACUGUAACCAUCCGCAUCAGCAAACUCCUGCGACCGCAACCGCAACCGAUACAUUUAAACAAGUCAGGCCCUAAGACGAUAACGUUUGUGGGCAGCAUCAUUAGCAAAGAGAACUACGUCUAUUAGCAUUAGAAACAAGUGAUGCUCUUCAUCAUCAUCAUCAUCAUAAACUACUUCCAAAGUGUUAUUACACGUAUGUGGUAUGCCGUAUAUAUAUGCAUAUACAGUUCUUUAUAGUAACCUACAUAUAUAUGUAGGUGUAGCCAUCGCAAUAUCUAGGUGUAUUGUAUAUUAGGGUAUAACAACGAACUUAGUAGAGUAGUAUGAAAUUACCUUAAACUUGGUUUAGUUUGGUUGAAACGCGUAAUUAAUAUCUUAGUAUGAAACUAAGAGUAUACACUUUAAGCAAAUAACUAGAUUUUGAUCCGCGCUUUUAAAGCGCGGAUUUAUUUUUUUAUUUUUUAAUUGACAAAUAUUUAGUAAAUGUCGUAUUUUUAUAUAUUUGUCUUUUAUUUUUAUGAAUGCUUAAAUUAUAUUAAGAAAAUAAAAAAAUAAUAAUUAAGAAUAGUUGAAAAAAAAUUAUUUUAACUUGGACUCAAUGGUCCAAAUGAAAAAAAAAAAGUGAGAAUUGAAUCUGAUUUUUUAAUAGGUCCAAAUGGCCCAAGAGAGAUUUGAUUUGGGCUGGAUCCAAAAAUAAUGAUCCAAUAUAGAUUUGUUAUUAAUAUUACUUAAUUGCCCUUAAUGAAACAUGCAAUGUUAGUGAAGAAAACAUACCCCUAAGGUAAUUAUGACAAUAGGAUCCUGCUUUAAUAAUAUAGAUUGAUUUCUCUUGAACCAACUUGCACUCAAUUUGCUCAUUCAACUGCGUAUUGUAUUUGAUUCAAAUAGAUUGCUGUGAUUUUGGUGUUUUACGUGGUUAUCAAAUGUGUUCAUACUCAUAAGCGCAGAAGAUCAGAAAGCAAUAAACAAGACAGAGAAGAUUGAAUCAAAAUAAAGCGAAGCAGUUAAUGACAGCAUUCAGACAGACAAGAACAUGGUCUUCCUUACAAAUCUUAACUCUAUAUGUUUUUCAAACAAAAGACCAUCCGUGCAUCCAAGGCACAACAACACAUAGCUUAGUACGGUCCACCGAAACUGCCAUCCUCUCACAAAAACUGCUUCAAAGCGCCUGUUACAAUUUCCUUUACUCAGAUAAAUCAGUCUAUGAAGUGGUUAAUGCCCAAAAGACCCAUCUAUAAGAACAAUAGUAUAAGUCAUACCUCUCCAGAGAAUAGGAAGCCAUAGAUUGGUGCUCAAAACUGGCGCCUUGGAGGCCUAGCCUCAGCUUCAGACACUCUAAUCUGCCUCCCGUCCAAAUCCUACAACAGGGUACAAAGUAUAAGCACAUCAAGAAUAGUUUCAUUGAUCAAACUGUCGGAAUAAAAAAGAUACUUACAGCACCAUCCAAUGUUCUGAUGGCAUUCUGAACCUCUUGAGCAGAGUUGUAAGUCACAAACCCAAAACCUUUCGACCUACCACUGUCCCUGUCGUAGAUGACUCUAGCCUCAACAACCUUCCCUUGCUCCCCGAACAAACUCUCGAGCGCCAUGUCGUCAACACCCCACGAGAGGUUACCAACAUAAACACGGUUCCCUGAACCAGCACCACCACCACCA